UAUAACCCACGUAGCGAUAAGCACUACUUUAGAUGAAUCUUUUGAUUAAUGUGACGCUUCUAAAUUAAACGGGCAUAAAGAUUGCAGCAAAGUUACUUAUUUCACUGCCAAAGCACCCAAUUGCAACCAUUUUGGAUCUUGCAGUUAGAAAUUCACUGUUACAUCCAUUCAUCCAAUCAAAACACAAAUCAAGAAGAAAAUUUUGUAUCCUUCUAUUGGAUUCAAUAUUUUACAUAUUUAUAAUACAUUUUACAUAGACCAAAUAAUGUUGUACGCACCACUACAAAAGUUUCAGAGAGAAAAACUGGAUUACCAAGUGAUCAAUAAUUAUUUUCUCGAGAAAAUUAGGGUAAUAAUAACACCAAAGACAACCUUACGACAUGUAAGGUAAUAACGGUUGGCCUGCAAAUCCAGCAAGAUUGUUUUUUUUUUGGUUUAAUAUAAUAACACUACCGAUGAAUCAAUCUCACUGGAUAAAAUCACCCAAAAUCGUUAAAUUAUACUCCCAUUAUAUCAAAUCUCAUCAUCGAUCUAAAUCAACCCCUCUAUAUUUACAUGAUCAGAAAAACUUUCACGCAUCCAUUCCGUUCCGUUCCCUUCCCCUCCCCUCUUCAUGCUAAGAAACUAAUUUUUAUGGAGAGCUCUGAUUCCGCCACGUGUUAUUAACACCCCGUCCGUCACGCAACUCGCUCUUUGAUGAUCAGAAGAGCAAUAAUUAAUCAGACAUAUCGUGAUCGUGCCAGCAGAGGAGCAUAGAUAUGCAGCGUCCGAGGAUGUAGAAUCGGGUCUUCUGUUGCUUCACCAUACGCGCACAGCGCUUUCGAAUCUCAGUUUUCUUGCUGUGGCUUUUAUGACGGCGGGAUUCGGAGGUCAGGUAAAUGUAAGGAACGGACAUGCUGCUGCUGCUGCUGGCGAUGGUGGAAGAUGUUGUCGUGGGCAAAUUUGAUUAGCGAGAGCUUCUUCCUUCACGCGGCCGCUGCUGCCGCUGCUGUUUUUCGUUUGUGGUAGUUAUAUAGACGGGACGUCUGAUGAGGGAGGCUAUGGACGGCGUGGUCCCAUGUUUGAAGUUUAAUGUCAAUUGCAUGGAAACUUAAACUUUCACGAUUUGACAUUACUAUCCCCAUUUAAAAUACCUUCAUUUCCUAUUUUUCACCCUCCAAUUUUCUUGUGGUUGAGAAUUUAAUUACCAUCUUUUUUUCGCCUUUCUAAAAUUAAGAUAUCUUAAAUGUGAGCCUCCAAUUUUUUAUUUCGGAAAUUUAUAAAAGCUUAAAAACUAAUUACAAUGUAAUUUUUAUUUAAUUUAAAUAGUUUUUUUGGAUAAACUAAUUUUGAAUAUACUAAUUUUUUUAAAUAAUGGUAUACAUAAACAAAUUUCCUCAUAUAAAAUCCAUAUCUCAUCAUUAAAUUAUUUCAUAUCAUAAAUCUUUAUAUGCUCACCCAUUGCCACUUUGAAGUUACAAUAACAUAUGUAUUAUAUGGGAUUCUAUACACGUGAUAUUGUUGAUUGUAAUUUUUAACUGCUCAUUUUUAUUAUAAACUAAUCAAAUUUAGAAGCUUCUUAAAAAAAAAAGGAAGAUUGGUCAGCAAAAUAAAUUCCGGGUUAUUUUGGUCAUUUCAAAAAAUAAAUUUACGUCGGUCAAAGCUUUGUGGGGCUCGCUCCAAAGGAAAAAGACCUGAAGGACGAAAAGGAACAAAUGUAUAGUAUAGCCCACAGCCCACAGCCCCACACCACUUUCAACAUCUAGCUUCGCAUGUAUGACAAGGCACUCUUGUCGUUAUUUAACCACGUUUUCCUUUUCGGCAAAAGCUUCUAGGUUGGCUGCCGCCCGACUGCUCAAAUUCGACUUAUCGUCCUCUCGUCGUUGUCUCACUCACCAAAUUAAAAAAAAAAAAAGAAUUGCUAACACUGUACUUGAACUAAGUGGCGAAUAUUAAAGUCGCCAAACUGACACGUUUUUGUAAUUACGUAGAGAUCCUUACUUCUUCAGAAAAGUUUUUAAAUCAUUCUUAUCCGUUGCAAUUUGCGAGAAAGAUUACGUUCAGAGCCGACAUUCUAGUAGCAAAUGGUAAGCAUGUGGGAGCCAGGUUUGGCACCAAUGAAUAGCGUCGACAAUAUAUUACAAUACAAUUAAUAUACAAGUAAAAAGUUCAACAAUUGUCAACUUAUGCAAUAGCAUUAGGUCUUACCCCGCUAAUCAGCCGCAGAUGAACUGCUACGUGAGUUUUGCCUAACCGUUAUAAGAAAUAUUUAUUUACCAUUGUUAUCUAUUAUUACCCCUCGUUUUAAUUCAGAAAUCGCAUCUUGUUUACGUUUUAAGGUGGUAAUAUUUGUCGAGUAGCUUCUCAGUGUAUUCUCCAAAUGUAAGAGCACCAUUUGAUGGUAUCACCUGAAAUGAGUCACAGGAAUAUGGUUAGUUAAAUUACAACCACAUUCACCUAACACAUUCAUACUACAUUAAUUGAUAGUCAUUGAGGCCUUGACCUGCUGGUGGGCUUAUUUCCUCAAAAAGUUAGAGGUUAUAGACUCAAAAUAUUUUUCUUCUUACACUAUAUGAUUAGCAGCAGAUAUCUCUCUAAAUAUUAGUACGGAUAGAUGUAGACCUCUAAGCUAUAAUACAAUUUAUAUGGUAAUAUAUCUAAAUACAAAUGUGAGUAGUAGUAGAUAUCUCUCUAAAUAUUAGUAGGAGUAGAUGAGGACCUCCAAGCAAUAAUACAUUCAUAUGGUAAUAUAUCUAAAUUGAUUAUAUUAUUGUAGAUCAUAACCAAUCGAAAAAAUAUAUAUACAUUCAUAGGUCUUAUUAGCAAAAAUGAAGCUAGCUACACAAUUUUCUUUUAAAUGAAUGGGGACGACUCAAUAAUGGAGGAAGAAAAGAGGGAGGGGAGGGGGGUGACAGAUGAACUACUUCUAUCACCUCAGUAUAUUUUUAUAGAGUUUUCAGAUAGCAAAGACGGGCCAAACAUUCUCAGACCGUCAUAAAGGUUUAGGGUUUUGACACAUACCUCUUUAUGAAUAUGUGCAUCCUCCGGAAAAUUAAGCUUUUCGUCCCUGUAAAACAAGUCUUAAAAAUGAGAAUUUUAAAAGAAAAUACAAUCUAUAAUGCUGUUUUCUCCCAUAAAAAUUAUACUGGCAUAAGUGAGGCUAAAAAAAUAUGUAUUAUACAAAUCAACUUUGUGAAUAAACCUACCAGUCAGGUUGCAUAAAUAAUGCAAAUGUUGAUCGGUCAAUACCAGAGGCCUCCUCUCCUCUUGGCGCCUACCAGAAAGCAAGAAAUAUUAUCACAGACUAUGGCAAUGGAAACGGGAUCUAAAAUUUAGAACAUAAGAAAUUUAUAGGUAUAUCAUGAUUGUGCCUAUAGAAGUUAAACCAUUGGCAAAACUUAGAUUAUGCCUACACACUCUGUAAUGAACUUAACUUUGUUGAAGCUAUCAUUUUGGAAAACAUAGUUAAACCUGAGACUAUGCAACCUCCCUAAACAGUAAAUCAAGUCUGUCUUAAGUCAAAGCACCAGUCCACUGAAAAGAAUCAAAGUUCAAUACCUUAGAGAUAGACUGGUUUAUAUAAGCUUCAAUGUAUCAAUUCAAGAAAGAAAGGACUCCAUAAAACAUCUAACAUAUUAUUGGCCCGCUAAUUAUAAAAAUUUUGACAUGACAAAUAUCACAUCUACAUCAAGAGUGGAUUUGAGGACAAAAUAAGACCUUACAAGACAAACCAAAUGUACAUUGUUUGAGUCAGUUUUAUGACAGUAUAUGCAUGGUAUGGUGAAAAUUUUCCAAAAUCUUCCUGAAACACAAAAAAUGAAUUAUAGAAAGUACCCGGACACAGUGAGGUGUUGCACAAAGAUAACUUCUUGACAAUAUUUCAGUGGUUUCCCCAAUUUGGUAUGCUAUCUCAUCUUCACCAAAGACAACCUUACGGGCAAACAGAACACAAGUUACAAUGAAAUAGCAAAUAUAUACUUCUAAAGCACAUAGCAAAAAAAUAUUUGAGUUCAAUAACUGAUAAGAAGGUUGCAAUCAACUUAUUACAGAGCAUCAUUCAUUUGCUAUGAAGAAAACUUUGAAACAAGCCAAAGGCGAUGUCGAUUAUCAUUAAUCCUUUUUAUGCAUUAUUCGAAUAUCAUGAUCAAGAAUGUAUACUUUGACAAUUUGAUCAGUCCGAGUUCUUAUAUAUAGGCCAGCAGCACUAUCAGGGCAAGGUAUUACUGUACCGUCUUUCGUAAACAUGCCACAGGUCAGACCUGCAUAUUGAAUUGGAAAGAUAGAUACAAAUUGUAAGAAAAGGCAAUCUUAAAAUUGAUAUUUCAAUACAAAAUGAAAUUUAAAGUUAAAGGCUAGACAAAAUCAACGAACUGAUUUCUGUGCUGGAGUGGGGAAAACAAUACUUUGAGAAAUUGCACAUUCCUAACUACACAUCAAUAUUGACACAAAUUUUGCCAAGAUAAAUUGCAGGGAGAAAUAUUAAGUGACAUAUAAAGGACUUUUAAGUGACAUUAUUAUGUUUAUGCAAUGGAAACCAGUAAAUACAGCAUCAUCAUCAAAACCAUGAACAUUGUAACUUUUGCAAGUACACAGGGGGUCAGGAAGUUAGAAUUCCACAAAAAAAUUAUCAUCGAGCUUGCCCGUGCACUGAGGCAAGAAAGAAUGAUUAGGGGACCAGAAAAAUUCAUUACCUGUCAGUGAACCAUGGUCUGUGUGCCAUCCACACCAAGAGGACAUCGAGUCACCAUCUCGGAUACAAUUGCUGCAAGUCACAGAACUCGUUAUAAUCAUCUGUGGAUUGCCAUAAAAAAUUGAUUAAAUAUUGAGAAAAAAAUACUUUGGUAUGUACAGUUGCUUUUUCUUUUUCUUUUGGCAGCUAAUAACAAAAAAUGUCUUUUAUCAUAAACAAUAAGUAUAGGUCAUAGUUAUGACAAAAAUAAAGGGCUGGAAUUCACAUGAAUCAUGCUUAAUUACCAUGGCUGCUAACUAGGUCAAAAUUAUCAUGACAAGAUCAACAGAAAGAUAAACAUAGAAGAACUGUCAGAUGCGCAAUGUUAUAUGUGUCAUUCCAUAUACCUGAAAGAUGAUUGCUUAUUCAUCAAAAAUUGUCCAAAUAGAAAAUGCAAAAAUUGAAGAAUCCCAACCUAAUCUGGUAUUAGCCAUUGUGCCCACCAAUUAGACUUACAUCUGAAUGAUGCUCAGAUUUAUCACUAUAAAUACCAAAACUUACAGAAUCUUGAAUGCUUAAGUGAUAACCAGUAGGCUUUUUUUUUUUUUUUCUCUUUUUAAUAAGAAUUACCAUAUGUUUGCUUUAUAUAUUGCCUUGGGAUGAUAAUGUCCAUCAACAAAUUGAUAUCCAGUUCCAUCCAUAUGGACAUGUAGAUCUUCUUACUCUGUACCAGAAUAUCUGUGGAAAGUAAGUAGAAUAAAUUCAAGACCCAAAGUUUUACUCUCUACGCUCUGGUUUGGUUAAGUCAUAUAAUUUUCGGAGAAUACCACAUGUACCAAAAGCAACCCUGUCAAGUAAACUCCUCUAUUUACAUUUCAAUGAAACCACCUAAUUGAUCUAUACAGGGAAAACUGAUAGAAUUACCUCUGCUGUGCAGGAAAAUAAUAAAGAAGACGGCCUUUGUGACACCGGGAGCGAAGAAGUAUUUGUUCAAGGCCCUCAUUCUCUUUCAUUUUCAUUCCUUUAGAUACUGCCCAAGUGCUCAUAAAAAAAUAUUGUAAGGGUCUUAUUCAGCCACAUAUACAUAAAUAAUUCUAGACUCUGAAAAAGUUGAAACUAUUUACUUUUAAGGAAUGAAGCAUGCAUCAACAAUAUAGUUAGUUGAGACUCAUGAAUCCUCAUUCUAAAUCCAGUGAGAAACAUUUCCAAAAACUAAGAAAAUUAUUUUUCUACUUCCAAGAAAUCCUUUGAAUACUUCUGCAGAAUGGUAAGUAUUUUUCAGGGCAAAAAGACAUGUACCCAUAGUCAGCUGUUAGUAUAACAUAUCUAAAAUAGAGCCUAGAAAUCACAAUAAUCAUUUCCAAAGUAUUUAAAAGCCAGAGUGUCAUGCCUAAGGAAUUUACCAUAUUGGUCGCAGUGAUAUGCCAACAUCAACCCAACAUCUACAAUCAGCUUUCCAAGGGCUUUGAAAGCUAGACACCAAAAAUUAACCUUCAGUAAAUGUAGAAAAUAAUUGAAAAGUGAAUUUGAAAAAUAAAUAAAUGAAUAAAAAAUCUAACAUAGAUGAAAACUGUGAAAGGAACACAAGAAGAUGGGACCGGAAAACAAGUGUAGCACCAAACAAGAAUUACACUCCCACUUAUAGCUUCAUUUUCAAAAAAAUUGGCAGAGACUCGUACCAAAAGAUUAGAUUACUCUGAAAAUAUGCUCAUAUAAAGGAAAAAAAAAUGAAACCAAUAUCUGCUUCAAAAAUCGGCUGAAACUACUGUCAGUUUAAAACAACUAUUCCGAUAUAGAAUAGAAGUUGACAACGUAAAAAAAGUGUAGACUGCAUACAAAGAAGUUUCUUCCCUGCAGUACACACUUGCGCUCACACAAAGACACAAAAAUAGAGAAUCAUAAAUUUGUAUAACUGUUUAAAUACAAGCUCUCAGAUCAUGAAUCCAAGAAAUCACAUAACUAUGAUAAACAAACCUCUCAAGAGACAAUUUCCAGCAAGCAGAAUAAGUCUCUCUUAAAAGCCAAUAAAGGAAUAUAGUAAUAUUUUGUGAGCAUACCCACUUCAAGUUCUGGUAGUGCACUAUGAGGCCAUAUAUUUGAACCACAAUAUGAUGGAUACCUAAAAGACAGAGAACGGGAAAUAAAUAAAGCAACAAACCACAUCAAGAUUUUGCAUAUCUAAUCUAAAUAUGCGCAAAUGAACAUAAGAUGCAUAUAACACAUAUCUUUCAAAAGUAAAAAAAUCAUCCCAGCAAAUGUAUUAUUGUCUUCCACAGACUGUAUCAUAUGAAGAUAGAUAUAACACAAAUUUUUGUUAUCCACUUUAUCCACACACUAACAAUCAAUUUUGCCAGCCAUAAAAUCUCCAGGAACAAGGGAAUGACAGUCAACACUACAAACACUUGAAAUGCUGUUAAUAUCUCUUACCUUUCGAUUAAAUGAGUCUCUGUUGUAGGCACAUCUAACAAUGGAUUCGCAUAGAAGGAGCCCUUCAAAAUAUCUGCACAAGAUUAGAAUUAAAGAGGUUAAGACCCUACUUGCAGGCAUAAACAGACAUCAUGAGAAAUAUAAAAAAUAAUCAUAGUAAGGCAUAGAACACCAACACUUCCUAAUAAUAUGUAUCAACAUGAACCACAUCCAAAGGCAGGGGCAGAACAAGCCAAUCUUGGCUGGAGGGGCCAAAGAAUUUUUGCAAACCUAUAAAAUAGGUAUUUUAUUAAUAUAUGUUUAUUUUAAUAUAAAAUAUUGAGUAUUAAACUUUUUUUUUUUUUACAGUGGCCAUGGCCCAUGCCAGUCCCUUAAUAGAUCCGCCCCUGUCCAAAGGUAAACAAAGCCGAUGUGUCAUUAUAACUGCAAUCACGUCUAGCUGCCAGUGUUCAAUCCAUUUUAUGUUUCAAAUUCCUCAAAACUUCAAAUGACUCCAUCCCUCCAUGUCCAAACUUAGGAACUCCCACUCUAUUCAAUCAUUUACAUAAAUAUCAUGGGAACAUGAAUCCUGAAAAAUAUACAGACUGCUCAUAUUAUGCUGUAUUUUAUUGAUUGCAAUAAUCAUGCAUCACAACAGGUGAAAUAUCUCAAGAUUGAAAUCAGCUUGGCCUGUGUUAGAACAAGAUGACCAAACUCAAGAACCUGCAUUCAAAAAUUUCCAUUAGAAAUAAUAGGGUCUUCUUUAUAACAUGAAAGCAUACCAGGGUUCCCGGAUUCAAGCUUCUCUUUACCAUGACUCCAUCCGAAGUUGUACCUACAAACAGAGAGUGAGCAGAAGAAACAAAGAGUUAGAGCACCUCAUAUACUGUGAGAUUAUGAACUUGGAAAUAUAUUUCGAUUCCAAUGCAAGAAUACCAAGCCUUCCACAAACAAAAUCACCAGAAAAAAGGUUCUAGUUAUUCAUGAUAAACACAGCAUUUCCAUGGGCUGCAGGCCAUGCUAAGUAUUGCUGUUAACAGCUUUAGGUAGGAUUUAAGGAAAAUAUACUGUUUACUUUUUUCAUCAAAUAGAAAAUAUGGGACAUGACCAUAUGAGGAAAGAGAUACUUGGGUAAGGCCAUGCUAAUCAUCUAUGCGAUCAAAAGCCCUAACGAUCACAGAGGAUAAAUGGGUAAACUCCAUCACCUGAGUUAAGUAGCAUAUGAUGCACUCACGAGGAGGACAUAACCAUGUGAAGACAACAUUAUUCUACUGGUAUGGCUAUCAAGGUUGGUGAGUAGAACUCUGAAUGGCAUUAUAAUAUGUGUCAGGACCUUCUGGAAUCAAUAAAGAGUUCAACUGACAUAAUACCUUUCGAGUAAGAAAUGAAAUCGUUAAGUACGAAUAAGGUGAAAGUUUAUCUUUUCAAAACAAGUCUAAGGAACCCAAUUGGUAUAAAGGGAAUAUAGAUAUAAUAAGAUCCUUCCCACAUAAGCCUAGAGCUAUCCAGAGCUAUUUAACAAACCUCUAUGCUAAGUGGAGGCCAAAGACACAUCCAAAGCAACCAAAAUAAGCCAUCAAAGGGAAUAAAGUAAAUAAAAGAAGAUGAACGGUGAAAUCAAACAACAAUACAGGAGCUAGUGGAAAGUAGAAUCAGACCUACUGUGAUGAUCUUCAAGAUCCUUCUUCACAUCUUCAGGAAGGUUAGCUAAUCUGAUAAAACAGAAUCUUGUGAACAACUUAUGAAAAAGUUACUUGUCCUAAAUAAUAUCUACCCGCAAGCUCAACCUGAGCAUUGAAAAUCUAGUUCGAAUCUUAUACCUAGGUGCAAGAUGCAGGAGAUUUUGAUGCAGUGAAGAAAAUCCAGGAACCUAAAACAAAAACAGGUCAACUUCAAACAGGUAAUACAAGCAUAUUGAAAGCAAAAUGACUGACUAAUUCCUGAACAAAGACACUAGUUGUCCAAAUUUCAAAUGUAAAGACACAUACAAAAUACAUAAAUAUAGAGGGGGAACAAAAAGAGUUUCAAAAAUGGGAAGGGGACUUCAUCAAACUUGCUACUUCAUUUUGUGUUACACAUUGCCACAGGUUUCAUCAUAUUCAAAAGUUAUACUCGUUAUACCAUACUUGGCAAUGAAACUAUACAAAGCCAAUGGGCAUCUCAGUUCCGAUUAUGUACUUAAAGUUCACAUGUCCACAAAAACUUGGGCAUUGUGGAUGGUUGUUCGCCAAUCAUAACUUUGAAGUUGGGUAAAGACAAACUGGUAAGAGUAAUAUAAAUUUUUCAUCAAACAGCUGUGGGUUAAAAUCAACAUAGCUUUCAAAAGUCAGAAGAAAAUUGAAAUGUUUACCAGACACUAAAGCUACUUUGCUUUGAAAGCACAGCUGUUAAACAACAAUACCAAACGGGGCCUUAAAUGACCUAUUAAUCUUCCAAUGUUCUUUCACAAGUUAACACAGAGUGACAAUAAUUGUCAGGAUAUAUCAAAUUCAGGUAUCGCUAUAGAUAUUCCGCUUAAAUUUCAGUAUCAGUUAUUUGUCAGCCAAACAGAACAUUGAAAGACUAAAAUAUGAUCAAGUAUAUACAUAUGUGCAAGUGCAACAAAAUGGACAAAUAUAUAUGAAAAGAAAAAAAUAGAAAAUUCAACUGCAAAAUUUAUUUCAUACGUCUGUAACAGAUAGAAUUCCGAGACCGUUGGGUCCAAAACCUUGUUCAAUCUUCAUCGACAAGUCAGCAUUCUUGUCCUGUUUCAAUCAAUUCAAACAACCGACAGUAAAUUUCAAACACGUGUGUUUCACACUAGCAUACGCACCAAGACUUUGAGAACUAACGUCCGAAGGUGAGCAAGGGACACAGAGACUUUACCUUGAGCUCCGAGUACGAAAUAGUGACGGUUCUGAGAGUGGGGGAAACGGCUGCGGACGAGCAACUCAUCUUCUGACACGUAAUCCGGUGGGAAGCACUGCGAUUGGAGGGCCGGGCAAGGAUGAAUUGAGUGCCGAAAUGAGUUUUAUAGACAAGCGACCCUGAGAGAAUCGGAUUCAUGCGCGAAGUGAGUGUGAUGGUCAAUUCAAAUGAGAUGAAAACAAAAGGAAAAACACAAGCAAAAGGAAUAAAAUAGCAAGCGGUGUGGUUUUGGCUCUUCGCGUUUGUUCUUUAAAUUGAUUAUCGGCCGGCCCAAACCUUUUACGUGAGUUGCGUAAGUCGUUCCUAUUCGCCGUCGUUCCCGCUAAACAUUACAAAUUUAUAAUUCCCCGCAAUUAAAAUUACAAAAAAAAUAUUCACAAAAAGACAAGAAAAAUGUGAUUUAUACAGUUUAAAGCUAUUAUUUUAAUAUAAAAACUAUCAUCUAAUUCCCUAACUUUUCUUCUUUUAAGUGAUACCAAAAAAAAAAUAAAUAAAUUUCGGAUUAUCCUUAAUUAUCUAUAAGUUACCUUUUAUUUUUAAAAGCUUUAAAUUAUUUUACUUUUUAUUUCAAAAAUUAAGUGCAAAUAAUUGUAUAUUGAUAAAAAUUAUUGUCUUCUGAACAAAAAGUAUGCCAUAUUUAAAUUUCCAUAUUUAAAUUUAAAAAGCAAAUAAGUGAAUUAAAAAUAGCCAAUUUCAAUAUAAUAAUUCUUUUAUUCAUUAUAGGAGAGAAAUUUCAACUUGGUUCCUCGUGUUUUUUAUACCAAUUUACAAUCUUUACCAAUUGAACUAAUCAGUAGAAUGAGAUGUGUGUCACGAUAUAAAAAUGAAAUAAUUUUUUUUAUGAUUGGAUUGACAUAUUCUGACUUAUUAAUAAUCUUAUAUUUAAUAUUUUUUUAUGUUGAACUAUUUAUUAGUGUCAUAUAUGUUUUCUCAAUUCAUUUAUGACCAAUUUAACAACAAUUUCAUUAUAUUUAUUAUGUAUUAAAUCCAUCUUUAUUUUUUUCGGUAGAAAAAUGACCGAACAACUUUUUAACCUCUUUUUACUUAGCUUUUAAUUAUUUAAUUCCUAAAAAAUAGGCGUAAUUUCUUAUUAAGUUAAGUAUAUAUUGCAGGUCGAAUUCGAAUCUAAGACUCAAGACUUUUUUUUUUUUUUUUAUAAGUAAGACUCAAGACUUUAAAUCUUAUGAAAACCACUUUUUAUUUUCUGCUAAAACUAAACAGUAACUCCUACUCAACACUACAUUUUAAAAAAUACAAGUACACACAUUAGAAAAAAAAAAAGAACCAUGAAUGCUAAAUCUCAAUCACACCAAGGAAGAAAAAUGAUGAGAUGUGAUUAUAUGAACGGUUGAACAUGCUCGCAAUUCACAUAAUUUAUGUAAUUUAUUUAUUUUUUAUUGCUUUUUAUUAUAAUAUACUACAGAUGUGGACACUUAAAGUGGUGGUUGCCUUAUAUUUUAUUAUAUGAAUAUGUAGUUUAUCCAAGUAUUUAUUUCAAUCGAAAAAUAAUAUUAUUUCGAAACGGUUUUGGUUCUCAAGUUUUGUUCUAAAUUCACACCCCUCUCUUGCUGCUGAAAACUCAAUGGCGUGCAACUUUCACCACCUCACCCAAACUAUCCGACUCUCUUUCCCACCUCUUCACAAUUUCAAAGCUUCUGAUGCUUUUACGAAUAAGAGUUUAAUUAUCACAUUUCCAGUACGUUUCUCUUUUCACAGCUCAGCAAAAUUAACUACUCCUAUUCGCUCUUUACCAGUCGCCACCGCUGGCAUUAGCUACAGAAGCAGCUGUACCUUCACUUGGGACGACGUCGUUCGAGUUUCUCAACCAGAAUACUCCCCUGACGAUUCUUCCGAUCUCCGUGGCUACUUCGAGAAAAUCAAAAUCUGCAAUCGUGGCUCAGUUACUAUUUCAAAUUCCUCAUCAAACAAAUAAAUUUUGCAACCUUUAUUUUGCUACACUUAAUUCAUUUUCUUAUCUUUUAAUUAUUAUUAUUAUCAUUAUUUUGUUUUAGGAAAUGCAAUCCGAGUUUUUUCCUUUUAUCAUCGAGGACCAAGUUGUUGGUUACACACAUAAUCGGUACAAUUUCUCUAUCCUCAUAAUACAAAGUAGAUUAUGUCUAUUUAUUGCUAUGACUUAGUUAUGGUGUAAUUGUAGUACCAUACCACAGUUGCUUUCACCCAUUAGAUAUAACCAUUAGAUUUAAAAAUAAGAGAUUAAAUGACUAAAAGCAACUAUGGUAUGAUAUCACAAUUGCACCAUAGCUGUUGUUAAGGAUUUUAAAUUUUGAAUAAUUUUUUUUUUGAGAAAUUAUUAUUGCAUCAUCUCUAUUUUACAUUAUAUUCAUCCAACUACUAUAAAAUUUUAACAUAUUUUCUACACCACUUUUCUUUUUAAAUUUGUAUCAAUUAGUCAUUUUUGUAUUAACACCGUUAAAUAAUUUUAAUGAAAUGACAAGUUUACCCCUAAAUAAAUUAAAAAACUAUUUUAUUUUAUAAAAACUUUGAAAAAUAAAAAAAAAUGUAAUUAUAGAAAUAUCCUAAUUUAAUAAAAAUAAAUCCCAAAAUUAGAAUUUUUAUUUUUUAUAAAAAUUAUUUUAAUAAAAAAUAAUUGCAAAAGUUUGGAAUUUAAUAAAAAUAUCCUAAAUUAUUAAAAUCUUGGGAUUUAUUUUUUAAUAAAUAAAUUCAGUUAUUUUAAUAAAAUUUUGUAACAUUAUAAUUUUUUAAUAAAUAAAUUUAUUUUUUUAUUAAAAUUUUACAAAAUUAUAAUUUUUUAAUGAAAAUAAUAUUAAAAUUUUGCAAAAUCUAAAUUUAAUAAAAAUCAUAUGAGCACCUCUAUUUGUGAUUUAUUUUUAUUAAAUUUAGAGGUAUUUUUAUAAUUAUAAAAUUUUUUAUUUUUCAAAGUUUUAUAAGAUAAAAUAGUAUUUUAAUUUAUUUAGGGGUAAAAUUAUUAUUUUAUUUAAAUGAUUUAACGGUGUUUAGUGCAAAAGUGGCUAAUUGAUACCAUUUAGAAAGAAAGAUAGUGCAGAAAACAUUAGACUUGGCAAAACCCCGGGUCCGGUUCGGUCUGGGUUUGGUACUGCCCAAUGCCAGAUCGGAUGAGUGAAAUGGCUGCCCGGACACGGGUUUACGCCCGGUUUUUAUGUGUGGGCCAGGUUCAAGCCGGAACCUCCAAGGUCCUGGUUUUUUAUCCGGGCUUCUAAGCCCGCAUGUGAAUUAACAGAUAAUAUACUAAUGUAAAUACAAAUUUUACACAAAUAAUAAAUAAAAUUUACUUCAAUCUACUUUCUACUACCUAAAUUCAUCCAAUUUCUAAGCUAAACUCAUUCAAUAUAUAUCAAAAAAAUUUAAAUUCAACAACACAAUAAUCACCAAAUAAAUCUAAAUAACAUCCAACAUAUCAUAAGUUCAUAAUUAUAAUACCAAUUACCAAUACAACAUAUGAAAAUCCUAAAAUGUUCAACAACUCAAAAUAUAAUUCAUAAAAGAGUCAAAAUACUCUCAUUUGAAAUACUCGAGCAUAGCAUAUUAGCAUCCAAAAAAAAAAUACAAAGGAUAAAUACCAAAUAAUCAUAAUAAUUUCAUCAUUUUUUUAACUAAAUCGAAAAAUUAUAUGAAAGGCAAAAUUAAGAAGCAAAAAAUCAAUAGUCGGGGCUAUGGCUGAGGCUGAGUGGCUGACCAGCUGUGAUGGGCUGAUGGUAGAGUGAUGGUGGUUGAGAAAGUGGAGAUGGUGGCUGUGACGGCCAACGGGCUGACGACGGUAGAGGUCGCACAACUCACUGUUGUUGGAGAUGGAGCAACCGAACAAAACUGCGUGCCAAGCCAAGUCAGCAACCGAGAAGAGAUGAUCCCGACGGGUGACAGUGGGUGGUGGUUAUUGUUAGGUUGGAGUGUUGGAGGCGUGAGCUGCACGGCAGCAUUGCUGCUUAAGCUUUUCAAACUGUCGAUAAGGAUUAGGGAAUUAGGGAUUUGGCAAUUUGGGUUGGGUACUUGGGUAUCUAGGCUUUUGGUAUUGAGCCCGGAACCGUGCUCGGAAAUGUCCAAGUUUGAGAAUUUCAUGCCCGGAUCCCUUUUUUUAGUGUAUGCGGUUUGGGUUUUGUUCGGACCGGAUUAGCCAAGUCUGGUUUGAAUCUGGCAUGAGCGGGCAUUUUUGACACCUCUAGAAAAUAUGUUAAAAUUGUGUGGUGAUUAAAUGAAUAUAAGGCAAAAUAGUGUUGGUUAUUGGUACAAUGAUAAUUAUACUAUUUUUUUUUUUCCUUUUUUGAAUCUGAGCAGUUUCGCUAGCCACCUAAGGAAAUACGACGACGUAUUCAUUUACUCUGAGAACAACGGAGGUCGAUUUGGCAGUCACGUGAAGUUAAAUUCAAAGCUGAAAACAGCCGAUGAGAGGACGAGAGUUGUUGGAGAAGUGAUUAAAUGCUUGGCCGAAGAAGAAUUGAUUCCAGAUAUACAAAAUGAGGUACUGCUAGCUUUACUUUUGAUGCUUAUAUAGGAAUUGAAUAGAUUUUCUUUCACUUUUGAAUACAUGCUUCGUGCUUCUGACUAUGUCCAUAUAAUGUGUAAUUUCUAAUUGAUAUUUGAUUUUUUUGAGAUUGAUUCAUUUUGGAUUUCAUUGGUUUAUAAUCAGCUCUAUCCUGUAGCGUCAACCUUUGGUUCUCCGAUCUUCUUCUCGCUGGAUCGUGCCGCUGCUCCUUACUUUGGGAUAAAGGUGAGUUCAUGACUUUUGCUUUGCAUCAAUGAUCUUGUAUUAUUUUUUGUGGAAAAGAAGCUUAGACACGUUGUGCAUAAAGUUUGAGAUACAAUAAGUUAUUGAUUAUGAGAUGUUUAUUGCGGAUAUGAUCACACGAAACAGUUGUCUUAUUGAGUGUCUAUGAUUGGAUCUAGUCACUGUCGAACUUUGUCUAUUUUAUUACUUUGUAUAUUACUUUGCUUUCUGGUAAAUGAAUGAAUAAUAAUUUAUUUGGCUAUUGAUGGUUAUAUGGCUGAUCCUUUCUUCCUGAAUUUGAAAAUAGGCUUAUGCAGUUCCCUUGAAUGGUUAUGUUGAAAAAGAUGGGCAAAAAUUUCUGUGGAUUGGAAAACGAAGUCAAGUCAAAUCUACUUAUCCAGGAAUGCUUGAUAUUCUAGCUGGUGGAGGAUUGGUUUGUAAUAGUAACCUUUCAUUGCUUUUCUUAGGUUUAUAGUAUUGGAUUCUCCUUUUGAAUUGUAUUGAGUUUACUUUUGUUUCGAAAAACACUAAAGUCGUCAGCUGAUUCUCCUAAGUCCUUUUUGUGAUCGGACAAAAGUGCCAAACAUGUAUUGCAUCGGUAGGGCACAGCUGGAUCCUCAUAUACUUGAAAUUCACUGAUGACCUUCUUUUGAAAUUGGAAUAGGUUGCUUACUAAGAAAUAGAUUAAUAAGGUUUUUCUUCGGCAGAUGACUCCAAUAUGACUGCAGUUGAUUAUUGUAACAAGAUUGACUUCUGAAGUGCUACUAAGGCUUAAAAAUCAAUUAGUUCUUAGAAAUUCUCAAAAUAGUAGGAAGAAGGCACGACAUUACCCAAUGGUUGUUUGUCAUUCUGAUUUAGCUUUAUGCUUUGCUUCUAGAAUAAGAGGGAAGAGGCAAAAGGUCAUUCUGAAAAAUGCCAUUUCUAUGGUGCCAUUUAUAAAGCAUGCAAGCAAAAACGUAGGGGGCAAGAGAAACUUUGCGGACAUUUGUUUCUUGGUUAUUUUUCGGUUGGACUGAUUUAUCUCUUUACUAGCUAUAUAUGUGUUAAAGUUUAAACUGAGUGGUUUGGGCAGCUUGCAAAUAUUUGUCCAUGUUAGUUUGUAAUGAGAAAAUGAUCUUGAAAAGCCUUUAGUGAACAUGGAAACUUGAGCUCAGAACAAAUAUCACGUGGGCAGCAAACCCUGUGCAAUUGGAAAACAUUAGGCGUUCCUCCUUGUUGCAAUACUUGGAGAUUCCAGUUCAGUUGCUGCAAUUGGACAAUAGAAUUUAUAAUAGUGAAAACCAAGGAUUCAUUUCAUUUAAAAAUGUGUUCUCUAAUCUUUAUGCUCAGUUAUCCGAGCCAACUCUUCAUCUAUAUAAUUGUGAUGGUGAUUGCAGCCCCAUGGUAUUGCUUGUGGGGAGAAUAUUAUCAAGGAAUGUGAAGAGGAAGCGGGAAUCCCUAGAUCCAUAUCCAAUAGGUAAGAUUUCCUCAUGCCACAUUGAUUCUAAAUUUUAGGAUUAAUUGUAUUAACUAUAUUAUAUUGGCUAAAAAUGUGAACUUUGCUAAAGUUCCACUCCACAUGUCAACAUUCUGAUUAAACCAUGCUUCUUUUGUGGAUGAUUGGUUGUACUAAUGGGUCCAGAUAUACAUCUUUCACAGAGCUAGACCAGUGGGAGCUGUUUCCUAUACGGACAUUAAUGGGUUUAGUUACAAAAGAGAUGUUCUAUUUUGUUAUGAUUUGAAGCUACCUGAAGAUUUUGUUCCUAUGAAUCAAGGUAACUGUAUUAAAGCUUGAUCACACUGACGCUCAUUUUCUUCCUUCGUGAGAACAAGGUAUAAAAGCAAUGUUUCUUGAUCUACAAACUAAUUUUAGCAUUCCUACUGUUAAAUAUUUGUACAUUUCAAUCUAUAACAUACAUCUGCUGCAGUUUUAGAAGAGAAUUAUAUCUAUUCAUUGUAAUAGCUUUUAUUAAACAUGUUGCAGACGGAGAGGUAGAAAGCUUCCAGUUGAUCCCUGUGGCACAUGUUGCAAAUGUCAUACGGAGAACAGAGUUCUUCAAGCCAAAUUGCUCCCUAGCCAUCAUUGAUUUCUUGUUUCGACAUGGGUAUUAGCACUUUUCUUGAUUGCUUCUUGUAUCUCUCUCAGUUUGAGACUUUCAGUAAUCAGUUAAAAAGAUUAAAAUAAAGAAAGAAAUAAAACUAGCAUAUGUGACAGCCGUAUGAAAAAUAAAUAAAUAAAUAGAAAGCAUAAUCACUUCUUUCUUUCUUUUUUAAUUAACUGUCAAGUUGUGGCAAUGGUUGCUACUUUUCUUAUGAUAGUGGACUCUCCUGCCCAGUAGAAAUGAUAAAAGCAAUGGUGUGUAAUUGUAAUGAAUCUUAAAUAUUUGCUCUCCACUACUGAUAUUCCCAUGUGUUUCUCUUUAGUUUUAGGAAUCUUUUAGAUGUCUUUGGGUUUUCUUUUUCAUGAUUUCAUACAUUUAUCAUUUAUGCUGAUUAAAAUUGUUACAUAUUAGGCUUGGCAAAUUGCUCCAGGAUUUUAUUUCUGACACUCAUAUGCACUUCCAACAAUUUCAAUGAAUCUCGAGAUAUCUCUUUGAUUUUUCUUGUAAUGUCCAUACAUUGAUGCUGGUUGAUAUUAGAUAUAUUUGAUGGGAUUCAUGCUCAAAAGGCGUUGUUGUAGUUCCUUUGCUAUUAUGAAAAAUUCAGCUAUAGCAUAUCAAUCCAUCCCAGUUUGAUUCUAAUCUUUUACCAUAAUGCUGCAACUUGUAGGUACAUUCGUCCUGAAUAUUUUGGAUACUUGGAUCUACUACAGAGUUUGAGAAGGGGAGACUUCUCCUAAUUAUUUGUCUUCGUGCCUGUCUUUUUUUUUUUUUUUUAAUCCUCCAAAUAAAUUGGAUUGACUGAAUGACAACUGGUGUUAAUUAAAAGCUUUAUUUUCCUGUCGCGAAAGAUAUAAUUUGGGCAUUACACGAAUUGGUUUUAAGAUAUAGCUUCGUGCGCAAAGAUUGAGAUAUGGUGAAAUCAUAGUUCUUAAAAUGAGACUUCUGAAUGAAACUAAACACAUAAUAUGUAAUUUAGGGUUAAAAAAAAAAAAAAAAACUGGAAUUUACCCCGGCUAUACCCGGAAUCUUGGCUAUUAAUCUAGUUAUGCCCUCGUACUUCGAAAUUAUCAUAAUAUGCCUUUAGAGAUGAGUAAUGUCUAAAUUACCCUCAAAUAUCUCCAAUUACAGACGCGUUGCUGAGUACUCAACUGGCCUCGUUCUUCUCCUUCAUGAGAUUUGUUCAUCCUCCACUUUGUCAUUGAAUUUCUUCUCCGUUGGCCGCAAUAGCUUCAUCGAGAUUACCCUUAUCAACCAGAAUAAUUUCUCUCUUGUUGGUGGUGACCUAAACAAUUAAGUAUAGGUCAUAGUUAUGACGAAAAUGAAGGGCCAGAAUUCACAUGAAUUAUGCUUAAUUACCAUGGCUGCUAACUAGGCCAAAAUUAUCAUGACAAGAUCAACAGAAAGAUAAACAUAGAAGAACUGUCAGAUGCGCAAUGUUAUAUGUGUCAUUCCAUGUACCUGAAAGAUGAUUGCUUAUUCAUAAAAAAUUGUCCAAAUAGAAAAUGCAAAAAUUGAAGAAUCCCAACCUAAUCUGGUAUUAGCCAUUGUGCCCACCAAUUAGACUUACAUCUGAAUGAUGCUCAGAUUUAUCACUAUAAAUACCAAAGCUUACAGAAUCUUGAAUGCUUAAGUGAUAACCAGUAGGCUUUUUUUUUUUUUUCUCUUUUUAAUAAGAAUUACCAUAUGUUUGCUUUAUAUAUUGCCUUGGGAUGAUAAUGUCCAUCAACAAAUUGAUAUCCAGUUCCAUCCAUAUGGACAUGUAGAUCUUCUUACUCUGUACCAGAAUAUCUGUGGAAAGUAAGUAGAAUAAAUUCAAGACCCAAAGUUUUACUCUCUAGGCUCUGGUUUGGUUAAGUCAUAUAAUUUUCGGAGAAUACCACAUGUACCAAAAGCAACCCUGUCAAGUAAACUCCUCUAUUUACAUUUCAAUGAAACCACAUAAUUGAUCUAUACAGGGAAAACUGAUAGAAUUACCUCUGCUGUGCAGGAAAAUAAUAAAGAAGACGGCCUUUGUGACACCGGGAGCGAAGAAGUAUUUGUUCAAGGCCCUCAUUCUCUUUCAUUUUCAUUCCUUUACAUACUGCUCAAGAGCUCAUAAAAAAUAUUGUAAGGGUCUUAUUCAGCCACAUAUACAUAAAUAAUUCUAGAUUGUGAAAAAGUUGAAACUAUUUACUUUUAAGGAAUGAAGCAUGCAUCGACAAUGUAGUUAGUUGAGACUCAUGAAUCCUCAUUUUAAAUCCAGUGAGAAACAUUUCCCAAAACUAAGAAAAUUAUUUUUCUACUUCCAAGAAAUCCUUUGAAUACUUCUACAGAAUGAUAAGUAUUUUUCAGGGCAAAAAGACAUGCACCCAUAGUCAGCUGUUAGUAUAACAUAUCUAAAAUAGAGCCUAGAAAUCACAAUAAUCAUUUCCAAUGUAUGUAAAAGCCACAGUGUCAUGCCUAAGGAAGUACCAUUUUGGUCGCAGUCAUAUGCCAACAUCAACCCGACAUCUACAAUCAGCUUUCCAAGGGCUUUGAAAGCUAGACACCAACAAUUAACCUUCAGUAAAUGUAGAAAAUAAUUGAAAAGUGAAUUUGAAAAAUAAAUAAAUGAAUAAAAAAUCCAACAUAGACGAAAACUGUGAAAGGAACACAAGAAGAUGAGAGUGGAAGACAAGUGUAGCACCAAACAAGAAUUUCACUCCCACUUAUAGCUUCAUUUUCGAAAAAAUUGGCGGAGACUCGUACCAAAAGAUUAGAUUACUCUGAAAAUAUGCUCAUAUAAAGGAAAAAUAACGAAACCAAUAUCUGCUUCAAAAAUCGGCUGAAACUACUGUCAGUUUAAAACAACUAUUCCGAUAUAGAAUAGAAGUUGACAAUGUAAAAAAAGUGUAGACUGCAUACAAAGAAGUUUCUUCCCGGCAGUACACACUUGCGCUCACACAAAGACACAAAAAUAGAGAAGCAUAAAUUUGUUUAACUGUUUAAAUACAAGCUCUCAGAUCAUGAAUCCAAGAAAUCACAUAACUAUGAUAAACAAACCUCUCAAGAGACAAUUUCCAGCAAGCAGAACAAGUCUCUCUUAAAAGCCAAUGAAGGAAUAGAGUAAUAUUUUGUGAGAAUACCCACUCAAGUUCUGGCAGUGCACUAUGAGGCCAUAUAUUCGAACCACAAUAUGAUGGAUACCUAAAAGACAGACAACGAGAAAUAAAUAAAGCAACUAACCACAUCAAGAUUUUGCAUAUCUAAUCUAAAUAUGAGCAAAUGAACAUAGGAUGUAUAUAACACAUAUCUUUCAAAAGUAAAAAAUUCAUCCCAGCAAAUAUAUUAUAGUCUUCCAAAGAAUGUAUCAUAUGAAGAUAGAUAUAACACAAAUUUUUGUUAUCCACUUUAUCCACACACUAACAAUCAAUUUUGCCUGCCAUAAAAUCUCCAGGAACAAGGGAAUGACAGUCAACAGUACGAGCACUUGAAAUGCUGUUAAUAUCUUUUACAUUUUUAUUAAAUGGGUCUCUGUUGUAGGCACGUCUAACAAUGGAUUCGCAUAGAAGGAGCCCUUCAACAUAUCUGCACAAGAUUAGAAUUAAAAAGGUUAAGACCCUACUAGCGGGCAUAAACUGACAUGAGAAAUAUAAAAAAUAAUCAUACUAAGGCAUAGAACACCAACACUUCCUAAUAAUACGUAUCAACAUGAACCAUAUCCGAAGGUAAACAAAGAUAAUAUUGCAUUAUAACUGCAGUCUUGUCUAGCUGCCAGUGUUCAAUCCAUUUUAUGUUUCAAAAUUCCUCAAAACUUCAAAUGACUCCAUCCCUCCAUGUCCAAACAUAGGAACUCCCACUCUAUUCAAUCAUUUACAUAAAUAUCAUGGGAACGUGAAUUCUGAAAAAUAUACAGACUGCUCAUAUUAUGCCGUAUUUUAUUGAUUGCAAUAAUCACACAACAGGUGAAAUAUCUGAAAAUUGAAAUCAGCUUGGCCUGUGUUAGAACAAGAUGACCAAACUCAAGAACCUACAUCCGAAGUUUUACCUACAGACAGAGAGUGAGCGGAAGAAACAAAGAGUUAAAGCACCUCAUAUACUGUGAGAUUAUGAACUCGGAAAUAUAUUUCAAUUCCAAUGCAAGAAUACCACGCCUUCCACAAACAAAAUCACCAGAAAAAAGGUUCUAGUUGUUUUCAACUGAUUUUGGGGUAAGAAAAACCAAACCAAUCUAGAACAAUAAAUUUGUUAUUUUGAGGGGAGAUGGGGUACCUCACUGGUUUAUUGUGUGUUGGGCGGUGUAUCUGAAAUUCGUGGGAGGUGAGAAGGGGAGAGAGAGUGGUAACAAUGGUGGAAGGUCAGAAACAAGAGAUGUGUCCUUCAAAACGAGCUUCACGCCUGCAAAACAGUGAAAUAGAGGUUAGAGGUGAAGCCGGGGUACCCCGGCGUUCACACUUCGACGCUCAAGUUAGCAAACUCAAGCUUUUAUGGCAAAGAGAGCUAGCUAGCCCUCUGUAAAUUAGGGUUUAAGGUUGAAGAAAACCUAUUUUUUGGAAUGUGAGUGUUCAUGGUGAGUGAGAACAUCCUGGAGAAUGAAACAUAGGCACCUUUAUAUAUGGAGUACCUCAGCUGCCACGUGGCGUAUCCUUUUUGGCUAACGUCCUUUUACCUUUUUAUGAUUUUUGGGCCGUUAUGUGCAUGUUCGCGGCAUAUCUCACCCUUUGGAAACGUGGCGCGCGCUGGAGAGUGGUCCAGGGUACCUCUGCAGUAACUGUCGGGUAGGCGGCUGAGGACCACUGUCCUUGGGACAGUGUCCUUCACUUUUGGCAGAGGUAGCAGGCGGCUGUCCCCCCCUUUUGGUACGACGUUCUUGAUUCCUAAUUCUGACAAAAUCGAAUAAUAUCUUUUAGGAGGUGGAGACGUUUCUCAUGGCGGAUAUUUUCGGAGGAUUCUCUUGCAUCUGAUCUGCCGGGUACCUCGAGUUACGUGGGGUACCUCAAUUUAUGUGGGGUACCCUUAAUUGUGCGGGGUACCUCUAUUUGUGUGGGGUACCUCGUAUCAUGUGGGGUACCUCUAUUUGUGCGGGGUACCUCUAAUCAAGCAGGGUACUUUUAAUUACGUCGGGUACCUCUAAUUGCGCGGGGUACCUCUAAUCAGGCCGGGUACCUCUAAUCAUGCGGGGUACCUCUAAUCAGGCCGGGUACCUCUAAUCACGCAGAGUACCUCUAAUCAUGCGGGGUACCUCUAAUCAAGCCGGGUACCUCUAAUUACGCCGGGUACCUCUAAUCAUGCGGGGUACCUCUAAUCAGGCCGGGUACCUCGAAUUAUACGGGGUAUCCCAGUCUAUGCGGGGUACCUCGAGUUACUCUGGAGUUAUGCGGGGUACCUCUGACCGUGUCAGGUACCUCAAAUCAUGGCAGGUACCUCUAAUCGUGCGGGGUACCUCUAAUCAUGUCGGGUACCUCGGAUUGCACUGAAGUUAUUCCAUUCGUCGACACGUGGCGUUCUGCUAUCUUUCUUAUUUUUCCCCCAAACACUAGUUAUUGAUGAUAAACACAGUACUUCCACGGGCUGCAGGCCAUGCUAAGUAUUGCUGUUAACAGCUUUAGGUAGGAUUUAAGGAAAAUAUACUGUUUACUUUUUUCAUCAAAUAGAAAAUAUGGGACAUGACCAUAUGAGGAAAGAGAUACUUGGGUAAGGCCAUGCUAAUCAUCUAUGCGAUCAAAAGACCUAACGAUCACAGAGGAUAAAUGGCUAAACUCCAUCACCUGAGUUAAGUAGCAUAUGAUGCACUCACGAGGAGGACAUAACCAUGUGAAGACAACAUUAUUCUACUGGUAUGGCUAUCAAGGUUGGUGAGUAGAACUCUGAAUGGCAUUAUCAUAUGUGUCAGGACCUUCUGGAAUCAAUAAAGAGUUCAACUGACAUAAUACCUUUCGAGUAAGAAAUGAAAUCGUUAAGUACCAAUAAGGUGAAAGUUUAUCUUUUCAAAACAAGUCUAAGGAACCCAAUUGGUAUAAAGGGAAUAUAGAUAUAAUAAGAUCCUUCCCACAUAAGCCUAGAGCUAUCCAGAGCAAUUUAACAAACCUCUAUGCUAAGUGGAGGCCAAAGACACAUCCAAAGCAACCAAAAUAAGCCAUCAAAGGGAAUAAAGUAAAUAAAAGAAGAUGAACAGUGAAAUCAAACAACAAUACAGGAGCUAGGGGAAAGUAGAAUCAGACCUACUGUGAUGAUCUUCAAGAUCCUUCUUCACAUCUUCAGGAAGGUUAGCUAAUCUGAUAAAACAGAAUCUUGUGAACAACUUAUGUAAAAGUUACUUGUCCUAAAUAAUAUCUACCCGCAAGCUCAACCUGAGCAUUGAAAAUCUAGUUCGAAUCUUAUACCUAGGUGCAAGAUGCAGGAGAUUUUGACGCAGUGAAGAAAAUCCAGGAACCUAAAACAAAAACAGGUCAACUUCAAACAGGUAAUACAAGCAUAUUGAAAGCAAAAUGACUGACUAAUUCCUGAACAAAGACACUAGUUGUCCAAAUUUCAAAUGUAAAGACACAUACAAAAUACAUAAAUAUAGAGGGGGAACAAAAAGAGUUUCAAAAAUGGGAAGGGGACUUCAUCAAACUUGCUACUCCAUUUUGUGUUACACAUUGCCACAGGUUUCAUCAUAUUCAAAAGUUAUACUCGUUAUACCAUACUUGGCAAUGAAACUAUACAAAGCCAAUGGGCAUCUCAGUUCCGAUUAUGUACUUAAAGUUCACAUGUCCACAAAAACUUGGGCAUUGUGGAUGGUUGUUCGCCAGUCAUAACUUUGAAGUUGGGUAAAGACAAACUGGUAAGAGUAAUAUAAAUUUUUCAUCAAACAGCUGUGGGUUAAAAUCAACUUAGCUUUCAAAAGUCAGAAGAAAAUUGAAAUGUUUACCAGAAACUAAAGCUACUUUGCUUUGAAAGCACAGCUGUUAAACAACAAUACCAAACGGGGCCUUAAAUGACCUAUUAAUCUUCCAAUGUUCUUUCACAAGUUAACACAGAGUGACAAUAAUUGUCAGGAUAUAUCAAAUUCAGGUAUCGCUAUAAUGAUAUUCCGCUUAAAUUUCAGUAUCAGUUAUUUGUCAGCCAAACAGAACAUUGAAAGACUAAAAUAUGAUCAAGUAUAUACAUAUGUGCAAGUGCAACAAAAUGGACAAAUAUAUAUGAAAAGAAAAAAAUAGAAAAUUCAACUGCAAAAUUUAUUUCAUACGUCUGUAACAGAUAGAAUUCCGAGACCGUUGGGUCCAAACCCUUGUUCAAUCUUCAUCGACAAGUCAGCAUUCUUGUCCUGUUUCAAUCAAUUCAAACAACCGCCAGUAAAUUUCAAACACGUGUGUUUCACACUAGCAUACGCAGCAAGACUUUGAGAACUAACGUCCGAAGGUGAGUUGCGUAAGUCGUUUCGUUCCUAUUCGCCGUCGUUCCCGCUAAACAUUACAAAUUUAUAAUUCCCCGCAAUUAAAAUUACAAAAAAAUAUUCACAAAAAGACAAGAAAAAAGUGAUUUAUACAGUUAAAGCUAUUAUUUUAAUAUAAAAACCAUCAUCUAAUUCCCUAACUUUUCUUCUUUUAGUGUAAUACCAAAAAAAUAUAAAUUUCGGAUUAUCCUGGAUUACGUUUAAGUUACCUUUUACAUUUAAAAGCUUUAAAUUAUUUUACUUUUUGUUUUAAAAAUAAAGAGCAAAUAAUUGUAUAUUGACAAAAAUUAUUUUGUCUUCUUAACAAAAAGUAUGCCAUAUUUAGAUUUAAAAGUAAAUAAGCGAUUUAAAAAUAGCAAUUUUAAUAUAAUAAUUCUUUUAUUCAUUAAACGAGAGAAAUUUCAGCUUGACUCCUCGUGUCUGUUUUGCUAAUUUACGAUCUUUACUAGUUGAACUAAUUAGUAGAAUGGCAAUGUGUGUCACCAUAUAAAAAUGAAAUAAAUUUUUGGGUUAUUAUCAUUUUACUACUUUAAAAAUUGUCAAAUAUCAAAUGAUUAUAACAAAUAUUGUCUCCUAUCAUUUUCCUACUAUAUCUUUAUAAAAAUAUCAUUUUACUACUUUUUCGUUACAACAAAUAUCAUUUUACUACUUUUCCGUUACAACCGUUAGUUGACUCGUUAGUUUACCAGUUAGUUGACUAACAAAAUACUAAUUUUACCUUUCAUGAUUAAAAAUAAUAAUAAGACAAAUUUGUAAUCCAUAUAUCAUAAUUCCAUAAAAAAGAAUUAUGUUGGUAUUAUAUAUUCAUUUUAAUAAAUAUAUUACAAAUUUAUUUUGUAAAUAAGUUUCAAGUAUUUUUUUUUUUAAUCAUGAAAGGUGAAAUUGGUAUUUUGUUAGUCAACUAACUGGUCAACUAACGGUUAUAACAAAAAAAGUAGCAAAAUGAUAUUUUUAUAAAGAUAUAGUAGGAAAAAUGAUAGGAGAUAAUACUUGUUUUAGUCAUUUGAUAUUUGACAAUUUUUUAAGUAGUGAAAUGAUAAUAACCCUAAAUUUUUUUAUGAUUGAAUUGAUAUAAUCUGACUUAUUAAUAAUCUUAUAUUUAAUAUUAUUUGUGUUGAAUUGUUUAUUGGUGUCAUAUAUGUUUUCUCAAUUCAUUUUAUAACCAAUUUAACAAUAAUUUUGAUAUAUUUAUUAUGUAUUAAAUUCAUCUUUAUUUUUUAGUAGAAAAAUGACCGAACAACUUUUUAGCCUCUUUUUCCUUAGCUUUUAGUUAUUUGAUUCCUAAAAAAAUAGGCGUAAAUGUUAUAUUUUGAUUCUACCCAUCCCUAGGUUUUUCUUUCUUAUUAAGGGGCAAAACUAUCUUACCCCCGAUGCAACGAACACCAUUUUGGUAUUUUCUUUAGCAGUCCCUAUAGUUUUCUGUAAAUAAUAAAAACUAUAAGUUUUAAAAAUUUUAUACAAUAAGCCCCAAUUAAAAUAUAAUAAUUUCAAAAUUCUAAACAAUUUAUUGGGCAUUUUCUUCAACAAUCCCUAUUGCUUUCUGUAAAUAAUAAAAACUAUAAUUUUUAAUAAUUUUAUGUAAUAAACCCAAUUAAAAUAUAAUAACUUUAAAAUUCUAAAAAAAAUUAUCUCUCUAUCUCCUUCUCAAUCAAUUUUAAAUUUAAUUUUCAUUCUUUAUAAUUUUAAAUUUAAGUAAUAGAAUAAAUAUUAUAUAAUUUAUUUGUUUUUAUAUUAAAUAAACAAUUGAUCGGCUUCAUACGUGGGAUAAAGUAUAAGUAAUUUUACAUAAUCUCAAAUUUACUCAUAGAAAUUUAUUAUUUUGAAAAUAUUAUUUAUAAACUCUAUAAUGAAUUUAAAUGACUAUCCAAGCAUUUAUUUAAUAUUUAUUUAUUUUUCAUUUUAAUAUUGUCAAAAUUUAUAUAAACCUUAUCUAAUUUUAUGUUACACUAAAUACAAAAUAGUAUUAUUAAAUAUAAUUGGUAUUUUAAGUAAAUGGAAGUGGAGAGUAUUUUAGCAAGUUAAAAUAAUCCAUCCAUAUUUUUAAUAUAUAAAUAUGUUCAUUUAUUGAAUUACUUUUGAUAAUAAAAUAUUUAACGGACCAAUGUGUCAAAAUUUUAAAAUUUAAUCUUUUCUUAUUCUUUUAGUAAACAUAAGGGACCACAUCGUUAAUAACCAAAUGAUAACAUCUUAGCCAUUAGAAUAGCCUUUGCAACUCAUGGGUUGGAUCCAAUAAUUGGAUCACAAAAAGACAAAAAAAAAAAAGGUAUGAAACAGCAGUUGUAUUGUAGCCGAACCCUAACUUAAGCAUAUAUUGAAAGUCGAAUUGAACUCUAAGACUAAGACCUUUUUUUUUUUAGGAGAACUAUUGCUCAUGAUAUCUACAACCAUACAAAUUACUGAGAUCAGUUUAUAUGAACUUUAAUAUGACACCGCUCAGAUUUUCUUAACCCUCUUAAAUAUUCGAGGGACGUCCAACUCCCCUCCUGAGAGAAAAAUUAUCUUCACUCAAGCUCUGGAGUUCCAAGGAAAGAUAUUUAAAUUAAACUCCUGCAAUACAUCCGCGGGGGCUCGAAGCACUUCCCUCACACUUGUGAGGGAGUGACUCUAACCACUUGGGCCAAGUCCUAGUGGUUCUAAGACUAAGGUGGCGUUUGUUUUUUCGUCUGAAAUCUGAAUAGACCUGAAUUAGUCUGAAUUCUGAAUAGGUCUGAAUGUCUGAAUCUGAAUAAUAUGUUUGUUUUUUCGUCUGAAUCUCGGAAAAUAAGUAUUAAGUUGUUUGUUUUUUUCAACUUAAAAAGCUGAAAAUAUGUACUUUUACAUUUGUAUCCUUAUUAAAUUUGAAUGUCAAAUAAAUAAUAUAUUAAAUACCAUAAUAUUUUAACAUUUAUAAGUAAAACUAUAUUCAAGUGAAUACAUAAUUAUUUUGGAAUUUUAAUAUAUAAAAUACCAUAAAUUUCAAAUUUUAUUGUAUAUAAUAUAAGAAAGAAAAAAUAGGGAUAUUUUUAUGUGAGGUAAAUAUCUAUGGGUGAGUUUUGGGAUAGACAUGAAAAAUAAAUUAUAAAACAGGGAUAUUUUUGACAUUAGCAAGCAAUUGACUUAAUUCAUAUUUCUCCAUUAAGUAAAAAGCCAAAAAAAUUAGCUUAUUUUAUUAAGUCAAAAUUAUCUAAAAAGUCUCAUUAAGUUAUAAAAACAAACACCUCUAAUUAACUUAAUUAAUUAAGUUAAGUCACUUUAAGUCAUUAAGUUAAAAAACAAACACCACCUAAGACUUUAAAUCUUAGGAAAACAACUUUUUAUGCGCAUACUCAACCCUACAUUUUAAAAAGCACAACUAUACACAUUUAAAAAAAAAAACAUUAACCAUUAAUACUAAAUCUCAGUGACAUAUACGAUCAAGGAAGAAAAAUGAUGGGAUGUGAUUAUAUGAACAGUUGAACAUGUUCAUAAUUGACAUGAUCUGUGUCAUUCAUUUAUAUUUUAUUGCUUUCUACUAUAAUAUGGUUGAUGCUACAAUGCCGGGCACUGAAGGCCCGGCACCAUGCCAAAAAUGAAAAAAACCAUUGGAUUCAAUCUAAUUGAAUCCAACGGUUGAGAUUAAAUUUAUAUUAAAAAUAGAAAAAAAAUGGGUGACCUAGUAAACCAGUUCCCUGAAAGGAAAAUCCCACAAUUUCCUCUCACUUCAAUCCGAUUUCUUUGCUUUCUCAAAAGAAAAAUCCCUAAAAUUUCAUCUCUUUUUCAAGUUCAUAGUUUCUCUCAUCCCAAUUUUUUCACUCAACAAGAUCAAAUCCACGGUCUCUCUCCACUAAUCAACCAAUCGGAUCCAUCUACUCACGUAUUUUGUUUGUAUACGAGAGGUAGAGAGAGGCAGAGGCAGAGCCAAAUAUCGCGCGUUGCUUCUUUUCCAACCGUCCACUGUUACCUUCGUUGCAAUGUUGUCUACAACAUGAACUGCCAUCGAAUGAGCUGCAUGAAGCUUUUAGGGUGGCGUAUCCUGGAAUGGAACCAAAAAAAGAGUUGAGGUUUAUGUUUGGAGUCAUUCUUGGACAGGAAGAACAGCGCGAAUGAGUUGCAGGAAGAGCAGUUUGGCUCGAGGUAACUCUUCUGUUCUCGUCAUGUAAAUGACCUAGUGUUGUGAUGCGUACUAGUAAGCCCUAGUUUUUUUAUUAUCUUUGAUCAUUUUGCAUUUCCUCACUUGUAUUCUCGAGAUUUUUAUAUGUUUAUGAGUUAUGUUUAUUUGAGUCCCAACGACAUCCAUCGGUUUUUUUAUAUUUAUCAUCAAGGAGAGGUGAAAUUAUUAUUUAAUGACUAGUAUUUUGUAUAUCACUAGCAUUAUUCUUAAUUUUUUGUGAUUUUGCUUUUUAAUUUGUUUAAUUGGGUGUAGCCAUUAUAUUGUGCCUGAAUUGGUAGUUGACGUGAACUAAUCUUAUGCAUCUUGCAAGGCUAUUCAAGAGUAUAUGAAGGGAAAAUCUCUAAGUUCUCUUCAAAAUAUUAGAUUUCCUGAUUGUGUAAUGUCCUUUUUUUCUUUUUCUUUUAUGCAAUGCAGCUUGGUGUGGAAAAACACAAUGAGAGCUUAUAAACAGAAAGAGAGCUAACAAAAAUUUUAAUUUGUUCCUUUUUCUUUUCCAGCCGUUCAACCUCGAUAAUCAUUACCGAAAUCAUUACUGUGAAAGCCGAAGUUGUGACGAAGCUCCUCAAAAUAGCCGAAAGGUUUUAUUUAUAUUUUUUUUCUCUAUAAAUUUUCCUGAGAUGAUUAAUGGUUUGAAGAGAUGAUUAAUGGUUUGGAAGCAUGAAAUUGGCAAGAAAAACAUGAGAAAAUGGUGGGUUGUAGGGAGAGAGAGCGUAGGUUAUGAGUUUUAGAGAGAGAAGAAGAAACUAAAAAAAGUUAUCAAACACACUUCUGUCUGGAAAUACACUUCCUACUGGAAUAUAUCAGCUAACCGUUAUCAAAUAAACGGUGAACCGUUAUUUUCCAGAGUUAGAAUAAUAUGUUUAUGGAAAUUGUCGGUUCACCAUUAGCUCUUGUUAUUGUCUAGAAUUGUAAACACCGUUAUUGUUUAUCCUUUAGCUCUCGUUAUAAAUUCAAUUGAUACUCCAUUUAUGUAUGGUCUAUUUCAGGAUUUGAACCAUAACAUACAAUUAUAAAAUGGAGUCCACAGAAGCUAGAAGGGGAAGACCUGGUCAGAGAGCAUGGAUACACUUUUUGUAAGUAUAAAAUUAUUGCUUUGAAUAAAGUUCUUAUUAUAACUAUCAAUUAUGUUGACGUAAUUAGCUGAACUAAAAUGUUGUGUACAGUAAGCAUGAAGCAGAAAAGGUCAGGCAAGAAGGGAUAAAAAAAGUUUGUAGGGCGACAAUUGUUGAAAAAUGGAAGAAAUUAACGAAUGAGGAGAAGUGCCGAUUUGGUACAAUGCAUGAGGACCCAAGUUCAAAUGUUGGUGAAAUGAGCAUUGAAAAAACAGAUGAAGAACAAAAAAUUGAGGAUAAGCAUAGCCAAUGUAAUUUAUCUCGUUGUCGUGUCAGUGCAUUCACUAAGGUCGUUUCCACACUGUCGCCCAACCAACAAGCUACAAUUAGAGAAAUUGGCUUCGGAAGCAUGCUAGAAUUACGAUGUGGUCGCCUGAGAUAAGACUUAUGUGAAACACUUGUCCAACAAUGUGAUACAAAGAGGCAUUGUAUAGUUUUACACGGGAGAGAGUUUUGUUUAAACCCUACAACCUUCAGCAUCGUAAUGAGGAUCAAAGAUGGAGGGGAACCAGUAUACAUCCGAGAAGAAGCGGGUGAUAUAAUUGAACUGCGUGCCAAGUAUAGAAUGGGUGGAAGAGGAAUUGAAAUAGCCGCAGUUAGUGAAAGAUUGAUAGCUAGUGAGAGUAGUGAUGAUGACUUCAAGAUCAUGUUUUAUUUGUUUCUUCUAGGGACUGUAUUGUGUCCCACAAGUGCCAGCUCCAUCAAUCCAAUGUAUCUACAUGCCCUAAAAGAUGUGUAGUUAAUGAGGAAAAAGAAUUGGGCUACAUGGUGUUUCAACUUUCUGUGGGAGGGCAUAGCGAAGUAUAAAGAUCAUUAAGUGAAGUCAGUUAGUGGUUGUGUUGUGUUUUUAGAGGUAUAUUUAAGAAAUCUUAGAUGCUAUAAUUAAUUUUCCAAAUACGAAAAAUAAAAUGACGUAGUAAUUGUUUUUUGAAUGAACAGUUGUUCUACUUUAGUGCUGUUUUGUAUGAUCGGUGUUCCAUGGACAGAACAAUUUGCCCUGUUAGUGUAUGGACCAAGGAAGAGAUUCAGCGCUUAUUGAAUUGGCAGAAAAAGUUUGGGGACAUGACAAGUACUGAGGUUUGUUUUAUUUUUUGUCUUGUUCACACAUGUAUUUAAUUUUGUUUACGGUUAAUUGAAUAUAUUUUUAUUGUCAUUAUGUAUGAUUGUUGUGCAUAUUUAUUUUAGGUUCCAAUGCGUGAAUCAAAUUUUCUGCGCUCGAAAGAAAUUUCCCUCAUUUUGAACAAACCGAAGAUGCUGGGCCGAGCACUGUUAAUAUGGAGGGAGCUUUUAGGGUACUCACACAGUGUGUCCACAGAAUUGAACACAAAAUAGAUUUGUUCAAUGUGAGAAUGGAAAUGGUUGAGAAGUCUUUGGAGGAAUUGAGAUCCAAGUCUCCGGUUGGUGCACCAUCAAAACAACCAUCUGAUCCAUGCCCGCCAUCUCCGAGCUUGAAAAUAGUAGAACCAACAUGUCCAGUCAGAAAAACCGAGCCAACCACUGAUGGAAAAAACAAAAUGGUAAUGGAUAGCGACGAGGACUCUGUGGAUCGCAGAUUGAACCUGAGCCUCGAUAAAAUAAUGGGCUGGAUGGGGACAAGAGAAGGAAUCGGUGAAUUUCGCAAAGAUCUUACCCAUUUUGUCCCUAUUCCACCACCUAAUCUUCGAGAUGAGGUACAGUUUUAUAACGUCUUUUUCUUAAAAUUAUUUCAAUGAUAACUCACUUAUGAAGUAACUUACAUAUAAAUUUAUUUUUUAUAAAGGCUUACUGGACGAAACCGGAUAACCGGUUGUGAAAUCCGGUUAUCCAGAUUCGAAGGACAAGCUUGUUGUCCACAACCGGAUAACCGGUUGUGAAAUCCGGUUAUCCGGCUUCGAGGGACAUGUAAACCCAAUUGAAACAGCUUACUGGACGCAACCGGAUAGCCGGUUAUGAAAAUCGAAAAUUUGGAUUCGCGUGGCCAGGUCACUGCCAACAACCGGUAAGCUGGUUAGGAAUUUCUGGAAAUCCGAAUUCGCGUGGCUAGGUCACUGCCAACAAUCGGUAAGCCGGUUAGGAAUUUCUGAAAAUCCGGAUUCGCGUGGCUUGGUCACUGCCAACAACCGGUUAGCUGGUUAGGAAUUUCCAGAAAUCCGGAUUCGCGAGUUUAUAUAUUGUUCAUCUCCUCAUUUAUCUUUCAGUAAACCGGAUAGCUUUCUCUCUCUAUAACCGAUUAUUCCUAUCUCAUUUUCUCUCCAAAGUCCAUCAUUUUCACAUGUUUUUUUGUAAAUGGAUCCAUGGAACUUAUUUCCCAUCCGUUCUUGUAUCCAAAAUCAUCCUUCAAACCCUUUUUCAACCUCAAAAUCAAUAGAUCCGAAAUCCAUUCUAGGGUUUAAGCCGAAACUUCUCUCUCUAGAUUUCUCCCUCUGAAGCCAUUUUUUAUCGAAAUUGCUUCUUAAAAUCUCUUUCCAUUCUUAUUAUCUCCCUUCUCAUUGAUUUAUUUCACUUCAAAUUAAUCAAACUCACCAUGUCAAGCUCACGGCCGGUUCGAAGAAAAGGCAAAGAACCAGUUCAACAUACCAACCGGUCACGACAAGCAGGGGGCACAUCCAAUCAAGCCAACUUUGAGGCCACACACAUUCAGAACCACAAACAUCUAGCCAAACAAUUUCACCAAUAGUUCAUGACUCGUGAGGUACUCCAAACCUUUUUUGUUUUACCGGAUUGGUUGAAUAAUCUUAGUAUUAGCAAUAGAACUUUAUUGCAAUUGUUGGAAGAUGUUGGUUGGCUUAAUGCAAUUGUUUUUUAAGAAAAUGUAUAUCCUGACUUGGUGAAAGUGUUUUACUCGAAUAUGGAUUGUUCCGCGGAGAAAGAGAAUCAAGUAAUCACCACAGUUGGAAGAGUUUCGAUUGAGUUUGAUGAUUCAGAGUUGAACUCUAUCCUAGGAACUUCCGAUGAUGGCUUAGAAAUUUUUUUACCUAAGAAACCGCCUGAUAUUGAUGACUAUGUUCAUAUUGAUGCUGUUAAGAAUAUAUGUCGUCGUAUUGACCUUUCGGAUGACGAUUGUACUAUCAAUUUUCGCACCUGAUGUCUUUGUCUUCAAACUCGGAUAUUACUUCGUUUUAUUCAGAGUAUUGUGCUUCCUAGAUCAGGCCAUUUGGAUGAGGUUUCUCAUAUGGAUGUUGCCUUGAUUGAUUGUAUUCUUAGACAUCGUCCAGUCGACUUAGGAUACACCAUUAUCCGAAACAUGCUUAGUAUACCUAAGUUGAUUACUCGUUCCCUUCCGUAUGGUCAUUUCAUCACCCGAAUCCUCAAAUACUUUAGCGUCCCUAUCCAAGAACCAUCAUGUAGGCCAUCUAAGAGCAUUGGAGAUGAGGCUGUUAGUUCUUUAGGUUUUGAGUGUCGUAAUGACACUUGGGUGAAAGUCGCUGAUAAUAAGUUCACAUUUCUUGCUCCAAGUGAUGAUCGGCCACUUAAUGCUGUGGUUCCAGCCUAUCAGCUGCCUGAUUUUUCGCUUUCAUUUCAGGGUCAGCGUAGAGGUCGAGCUCCUUCAGUGUCUCCCUCAGCUCCUGCACCUACUUUACCACAUCCCGAGCCUCCUACUUCUGAAGAAGUUACUCUUCAGCAGCUUAUGGAUGAGGUGAGGACACUCUCUGUGCGGCAGACUGAGUUUCACCAGCAGGAGCGGCUUAUUCAUGGACAACGCCUCCUCUUUAAGCACUUCGGCAUUCCAUAUCCGUAUCCACCUCCAUCACCACCAUCCUCACCACCUCAGUAGUAUCUUAUACUUGUAUUUGGACACACUUACAUUUCAUUAUGAUUUUGGAUUAUGUAUUUGUUUUGAAUGAUAUGGAUUUGUUUUGAUUGUUUGAUAUUUCAUGGAUAAAUUAUUGUUUUGAAUUUCGAAUUUAGACCUAUUUGAAAAUAUCUAAAUGUUUUCGGUCAUUCUAUAAUUUAUGAUAUUUUGGAUCAUAUCUUAAUUUCAGAAAGUUUUGGCUUUAAUAAAGUAAUAAUUAGAAUUUCUGAAAUUGGACCUAUAUGAAAAAUUUUAUAACGCUUUGGGUCAUAACAUAGUUUCAUAUAGUUUUGAGGUCAAACUGUAUUUUAAAAACAUAAUUCAUUGUAACACUUCACGUGGAAUAUACAACUUAUCACGUCAAGUUGGCAACAUGGACGUCAAACAUGAAACGGCCAAGAAUAAUCGAGAAUUUUGGCUUUAUCCAAAACAUGCAACAUUGUAGGUCAAACAUGAAAUCCUACUGUCAGACAUACAACAACUGACGUUAAACAUGAAACUUGCAACACUUCACGUGAAAUAAACGACUUAUCACGUAAAGUUCGCAACAUGGACGUCAAACAUGAAACAGGCGAGAAUAUUCUUUAUUUUGGCUUUAUUGAAGACAUGCAACCUCUAACGUAAAACAUGCAACCGUUACGUCGGACAUGCAACAACUAUCGUUAAACAUGAAACUUACAACACUUCACGUGUAAUAUACGACUUAUCACGUAAAGUUUUCAACUUCGACGUCAAACAUGAAACAAACGAGAAUAUUUCGGAAUAUUCUUUAUUUUGGAUGUAUUCAAUACAUGCAACAUCUUCCGUCAAACAUGAAAUCCAACCGUCGAAUAUGCAACAAUUAACGUUAAACAUGAAACUUGCAACACUUCACGCGAAAUAUGCAACUUAUCACGUAAAGUUCGCAACAUGGACGUUAAAUAUGAAACGGGCGAGAAUAUUCUAGAAUAUUCUUUAUUUUGGCUUUAUUCAAGACAUGCAACCUCUAACAUAAAACAUGCAACCGUUACGUCGGACAUGCAACGGCGGACGUUAAACAUGAAACUUGCAACACUUCACGUGAAAUAUACGACUUAUCACGUAAAGUUCGCAACAUGGACGUCAAACAUGAAACGGCCAAGAAUAAUCGAGAAUUUUGGCUUUAUCCAAAACAUGCAACAUCGUACGUCAAACAUGAAAUCCUACCGUCAGACAUGCAACAACUGACGUUAAACAUGAAACUUGCAACACUUCACGUGAAAUAUACGACUUAUCACGUAAAGUUCGUAACAUGGACGUCAAACAUGAAACGAGCGAGAAUAUUCGAGAAUAUUCUUUAUUUUGGCUUUAUUGAAGACAUGCAACCUCUAACGUAAAACAUGCAACCGUUACGUCGAACAUGCAACAACUAUCGUUAAACAUGAAACUUGCAACACUUCACGUGUAAUAUACGACUUAUCACGUAAAGUUCGCAACUUCGACGUCAAACAUGAAACAUACAAGAAUAUUUCGGAAUAUUCUUUAUUUUGGUUGUAUUCAAUACAUGCAACAUCUUCCGUCAAACAUGAAAUCCAACCGUCGAAUAUGCAACAACUAACGUUAAACAUGAAACUUGCAACACUUCACGCGAAAUAUGCAACUUAUCACGUAAAGUUCGCAACAUGGACGUUAAACAUGAAACGGGCGAGAAUAUUCGAGAAUAUUCUUUAUUUUGACUUUAUUCAAGACAUGCAACCUCUAACGUAAAACAUGCAACCGUUACGUCGGACAUGCAACAACUAACGUUAAACAUGAAACUUGCAACACUUCAUGUGAAAUAUACGACUUACCACGUAAAGUUCGCAACAUGGAACGUUAAACAUGAAACGGGCGAGAAUAUUCGAGAAUAUUCUUUAUUUUGGCUUUAUUCAAGACAUGAAACCUUUAACGUAAAACAUGCAACCGUUACGUCGGACAUGCAACAACGGACGUUAAACAUGAAACAUGAAACUUGCAACACUUCACGUGAAAUAUACGACUUAUCAUGUAAAGUUCGCAACAUGGACGUCAAACAUGAAACGAGCGAGAAUAUUCGAGAAUAUUAUUUAUUUUGGCUUUAUUCAAGACAUGCAACUUCUAACGUAAAACAUGCAACCGUUACGUCGGACAUGCAACAACGGACGUUAAACAUGAAACUUGCAACACUUCACGUGAAAUAUACGACUUAUCACGUAAACUUCGUAACAUGAACGUCAAACAUGAAACGGGCGAGAAUAUUCGAGAAUAUUCUUUAUUUUGGCUUUAUUCAAGAUAUGCAACUUCUAACGUAAAACAUGCAACCGUUACAUUGGACAUGCAACAACUGACGUUAAACAUGGAACUUGCAACACUUCACGCAAAAUAUGCAAUUUAUAACGUUAAGUUCGCAACUUCAACGUCAAACAUGAAACGGACGAGAAUAUUCCGGAAUAUUCUUUAUUUUAGAUUUAUUCAACACAUGCAACAUCAUACGUCAAACAUGAAAUCCGACCGUCGAAUAUGAAACAACUGACGUUAAACAUGAAACUUACAACACUUCACGCGAAAUAUGAAACGUAUCACGUAAAGUUCGCAAUUUCGACGUCAAACAUGAAACGGACGAGAAUAUUCCGAAAUAUUCUUUAUUUUGGCUUUAUUCAACACAUGCAACAUCUUACGUCAAACGUGCAAUCAAUACGUCGGAGAUGCAACAACUGACGUUAAACCUGAAAUACUAUUUUUUUCAUUUUCAAUUUCUUUAUUUUUUGCCAUUUUAUUUAAUUAUAUUAUAUUGUAUUAUAGGGUUUCUAUUAUAUUAUUUAAUUUUUUUAUCUUUUGCUAUUAAUUAUAUUAUAAAAAACUAUUUUUGACAUUUUAUUUAAUUUUUCAUUUUUAUAUUGUAUUUUUAAUAUAUUUUUUAAAAAAAAUAUGGUGCAACCGGUUUGUUAACCGGCUGCACCAAGUCUUUGGCUGCCAAAUGGCAGCCAAAGACAGCCUGGCUCUCUUUUUGAGAGCCCGGCAUGGUGCCGGGUACAAUGCCAAUGGCACUGUAGCCAAACCCUAAUAGAAUUUCGGGUUUGGCUACAAUGUCGUUGGCAUUGUAGCCGGCACCAUGCCGGGCUCUCAAAAAGAGAGCCAGGCUGUCUUUGGCUGCCAUUUGGUAGCCAAAGACUUGGUGCAGCCGGUUAACAAACCGGUUGCACCUUUUUUUAAAAAAAAAAAUAAAUAUUAAAAAUACAAUAUAAAAAUGAAAAAAUUAAAUAAAAUGUCAAAAAAAUAGUAUUUUAUAAUAUAAUUAAUAGCAAAAGAUAAAGAAAUUGAAUAAUAUAAUACAAUAUAAUAUAAUUAAAUAAAAUGUCAAAAAAUAAAGAAAUUGAAAAUGAAAAAAAUAGUAUUUCAUGUUUAACGUCAGUUGUUGCAUGUCGGACGUCCCGGUUGCAUGUUUGACGUUAGAUGUUGCAUGUUUUGGAUAAUGACAAAAUAAAGAAUAUUCUCGAAUAUUCUCGCCCGUUUCAUAUUUGACAUCCAAGUUGCGAACUUAACGUGAUAAGUUGUAUAUUUCACGUGAAGUGUUGCAAGUUUCAUGUUUAACAUCAGUUGUUGCAUGUCGGACGUCCCGGUUGCAUGUUUGACGUUAGAUGUUGCAUGUUUUGGAUAAUGCCAAAAUAAAGAAUAUUCUUGAAUAUUCUCGCCCGUUUCAUAUUUGACGUCCAAGUUGCGAACUUAACGUGAUAAGUUAUAUAUUUCACGUGAACUGUUGCAAGUUUCAUAUUUAACAUCAGUUGUUGCAUGCCGGAUGUUCUGCUUGCAUGUUUGAAGUUAGAUGUUGCAUGUUUUGAAUAAAGCCAAAAUAAAGAAUAUUCUCGAAUAUUCUCGCUCGUUUCAUGUUUGACGUCAAAGUUACGAAGUUUACGUGAUAAGUUGUAUAUUUCACGUGCAGUGUUGCAAGUUGAAUGUUGAACGUCUGUUGUUGCAUGUCCGACGUCCCACUUGCAUGUUUGACGUUAGAUGUUGCAUGUUGAACGUAAAGCCAAAAUAAAGAAUAUUCUCGAAUAUUCUCGUUCGUUUCAUGUUUGACGUCGAAGUUGUAAACGUUUCGUGAUAAGUUGUUUAUUUCACGUGCAGUGUUGCAAGUUGCAUGUUUAACGUCCGUUGUUACAUGUCCGAUGUCCCGCUUGCAUGUUUGACGUUAGAUGUUACAUGUUUUGGAUAAAGCCAAAAUAAAGAAUAUUCUCGAAUAUUCUCGCUCAUUUCAUGUUUGACGUCCAAGUUGCGAACUUUACAUGAUAAGUUAUAUAUUUCACGUGAACUGUUGCAAGUUUCAUAUUUAACGUCUGUUGUUGCAUGUCGGAUGUUCUGCUUGCAUGUUAGACGUUAGAUGUUGCAUGUUUUGAAUAAAGCCAAAAUAAAGAAUAUUCUCGAAUAUUCUCGCUCGUUUCAUGUUUGACGUCAACGUUACGAAGUUUACGUGAUAAGCUGUAUAUUUCACGUGCAGUGUUGCAGGUUGCAUGUUGAACGUUUGUUGUUGCAUGUCCGACGUCCCGCUUGCAUGUUUGACGUUAGAUGUUGCAUGUUGAACAUAAAGCCAAAAUAAAGAAUAUUCUCGAAUAUUCUUGUUCGUUUCAUGUUUGACGUCGAAGUUGUAAACUUUUCGUGAUAAGUUGUAUAUUUCACGUGCAGUGUUGUAAGUUGCAUGUUUAACGUCCGUUGUUACAUGUUCGACGUCCCGCUUGCAUGUUUGACGUUAGAUGUUGCAUGUUUUGGAUAAAGCCAAAAUAAAGAAUAUUCUCGAAUAUUCUCGUCCGUUUUAUGUUUGAUAUCUAAGUUGCAUACUUUACGUGAAAGGUUGCAUAUUUGACGUGAUAUGUUGUAGGUUUCAUGUUUAACAUCAAUUGUUGCAUGUUAGACGUCACGGUUGCAUAUUUCAGGUUAAAUGAUGCAUGUUUUGAAUAAAGGCAAAAUAAAGAAUAUUCCCGAAUAUUCUGGCCCGUUGCAUGUUUGACGUCUAAGUUGCAUACUUUACAUGUUAAGUUGCAUAUUUGACGUGAAAUGUUGUAGGUUUCAUGUUUAACGCCAGUUGUUGCAUGUUUGACGCUAGAAGUUACAUGUCCUGAAUAAAGUUAAAAUAAAGAAUAUUCCCGAAUAUUCUCACCCGUUUCAUGUUUGAUGUCAAAGUUGCAUACUUUACGUGAUAAAUUGUAUAUUUAACGUGACUUGUUGCGGGUUUCAUGUUUUACGUCUAUUGUUGCAUGUUGGACAUCGCAGUUGCGUGUUUGGCGUUAGAUGUUGCAUGUCUUGAAUAAAGCCAAAAUAAAGAAUAUUUCUGAAUAUUCUCGCCCGUUUCAUGUUUGACGUCAAAGUUGCAUACUUUACGUGAUAAAUUGCAUAUUUAACAUGACUUGUUGCGGGUUCAUGUUUUACGUCUAUUGUUGCAUGUUGGACGUCGCGGUUGUAUGUUUGACGUUAGAUGUUGCAUGUCUUGAAUAAAGCCAAAAUAAAGAAUAUUUCUGAAUAUUCUCGCUUGUUUUAUGUUUGACAUCAAAGUUGCAUACUUUACGUGAUAGGUUGCAUGUUUGACGUAAAAUAUUAUAGGUUUAUAUAAAAUAACUAAUUAUAAAAUGAGAGUGCAUUUCAAAAUUCCUUGACAAAUCAAGUGAUAAUUUAUAACUAAACUUAUUUUUUCAAAUUUUUUAUUAUUAAUUAAGCCAAUCUAUUAAGAAACAAAUGAAAAUUAAAUUAAAUUCAACUUUUACCUAAUAAAUAUAUUUAGGAAUAUAUCUAAUUAAACUGGUACACAAAUUACAAAUGUUUUCAUGAAAUUACAUAUAUAAGUUUAAUAGUCUCACUAUUUUUUACAUGAUUGAUAAAAUGAUGGCUUUGGAAAGAACUUGUGAUAUGAAAAGAAAAAUCUAGUUAAUUAUAAUAAAAUUACAUAUCUAAUCCAACCUUUUUUCCUUAUUUUAGUCAGAUAAUAGUUUUGAAAAUAAUUUGAUAAUUCAAGUGAUAAUGUCUAUUCUUAUUUGUUGUAUAAUAUUUUUUUAGGUGCAUUUCAUUUCAUUUUUAUUUUUUUAGAGAAUCUAAUCAUGGUGGAUAUUUUAAAUUACUAAGUCAUGAAAAUUUUGAAUUCAAUUGAAAUUUACAAUCUUUUAUGAAUGAAAAUAUACAGCAAGACAAAAAAAUUGAGAUAAAAAGAAAAUGUGGUAGAAAGAAAAGGCAACAUCAAUAUGAUCAUUUUCUAAGAAAAAUUAAGGCAAAAUCUUCCAAGUAAUAUGGUCAAUUUCAAUAAAAUUACAACUUACUAGAGUAUAUCCAUCUACUAAACAUCCAAAGUUCACAACAUAAUUUUUGAAUAUCACCAAUAACAUCCCCAGUCCUAAAGAUUGCAACAAAUUCAUGUAACAUUUGAGAGUAUUGUUUGGGGGUAAAAACAUCGUGACCAGGUACGCAUAAGUAGAAUGCGCACCCCUCAGUCGGCCUAAGGCGACUCCUUGAGGAAAGUCUUCCCCGACGAGUUGAGCAUUGGAGGGUUUAUGUUAGAAAAUCCUCCGACAUCCCCUGACUAGUUGUUAUGAACGCAAGCAUCCUUGGAGAAAGAGCUUGAGGUCCCAAGAGCCUAUUCGAUAAGAAAGAUAGAAGUACAAACCGACUCCCCAACAACUACUAAUUUAAGUGUUGGCGUGGUUGUCUGGUCGCUUCACAACUCGACCAGAAUUCAACAUCAACAGAUAUUUUAGAAUCUAGUGUAUCUUCAAUAAUUUUGGAUUAAAUUGUAUGACACUUUUUUCUUUCUUUUUUUUUUGUGAAAACAAAUUUUAGUACACUUAUUUUAAAAGAAAUUUGUUAAUGAAAAACAAAAUAAUGACAAUGAAGAGCACUCAUUUAUAAAAAUAAGCUACAAAUAGGAAAACAAAAUUCAUAUAAGUAGAAUCUCCCAAAAAAUAAAAGCAUUGUCAAAUUGAGUUACAAACUAAUAAUAAUUUCAUCAAAGUUUGUAAACUAAAGAUUGUCCUAAUAUCAAAAAGUUUCCAAUAAAACACUUAUGCCAGAUAAUUUAUAGAACCUAGUAAUAUCCAACUGAAUUCUCCCCUGCAAAUAAUUAAAAUUUUCAAGUUAGUCAAUAAGAAAAAACAGCCAUCAAUCAUAAUAAGAAGCAACAACAAAUUACACUAAAAAAAUAGCAGAAAAAAGCACCAAAACAACAAAUAUAAACAAGAAACAACAAUAAAAAAAAAACCCAAAAAUGGCAAAAAGAGAUGCUCAAAGCAGCAAUAAAUUUAUAAAAAAUACCCUAAAAUAGCAAGAAAACUACCUAAAACCAGAAAAAAAAAAUCUAAAAUAGCAGCAAAAUCUUCCAUUGCCAGAUAAAGCUAUGAAAGAAAAGAAAUAAAAUUCAUAAAGAGUCAAAGCUAACAUACUGACCACUUGCUAGAAAUUAAGCUAUAAAUCCCAAAUUUUUACACAAAUUAAUAUCUGAAACAAGAUUGGUUUGAUAUAUGAUAGUCAAGUAAAAUACCUAUAAAGUAGUACAAAAUCAGCAAACCUAAUGGCUUCACUCCACUCAUUUUCUUAAGACUCCAGUGAUGAGAAGCUGCCAACAGAAUGAUAAAUUGAGGUUUGACAGGAAGCACACAAACUAAACAAGAUACAUAACAACUUUGUUAUCCAUGUUACACCCUAGAACCAUUUCUAGGAAUAUUUGUUAGAAUAGCCACCAUAACAGUUGAUGAGCAACAUAAAACAGAGACAACAACAAAACCAGCAACCUGCAAAGUGCCAAUUCUUCCAUAAUUAAAUCAGAUAGACAAUAGAAAUAAUUUACUAUUAAAAUCCCAAAUUCAUUUUAUCUUCUUCCUGCAUUUUCUCAUCAAUCAAACAUAAAAGAGAGCUCCUAUCGACAUAUGCAAACAGCACCCACCAUCUUGUCACAUUCAAACACAACCCAAGAUCACAAAAGUUAAUUUUCCAGAUUUAGUUAACCAAAGAAAAUAUACCAUCAAUUGGAUCACCUUAUAAAUCAAAUACAAUUACACGAUAUUACCAACCUCCCAAAAAAAAAAGGCACAAACUUUAAAAUGAAAACAACACCACCAUGAAAAAUAAGCAAAAGUGGGUAUUUGAAUCAAACAUGAUAGAAUGCAACAAAAGCAAAAAAGCUUUCCAUAGAAGCCAGAGCCAGAUUGGGUACAAGCAAGCUAGGAUGUACCAAUUAAAGAUGCUUCAUUCAAGAACAGAAAAGCUACCAGAAUGAUAAAAGUAGAAAAAAUGAAACAAUAAAUAGAAAAUUGGGUGAAGCUGCAACAAUAGUUUCAAUCACUUAACAGUACCAGCAAACUUAUAGUCAACUUUAAGAACUAGAUGUUUAAGCCACAGAUAACGGGGACGUACCCAUGAGGAUAAAGACACAAGCGUGAGACCAGCAAAGCCGCCCAUCCUUAACUUGUGCAGCAGACAAAGUCGAAUGAAAAAGGAGGCAACGACGGUAGCGACGGAAACGGCUGGAUCGGAAGCGAACAGCUCAAGAUGAAAGCAACAAGUUAAUGGAUUGGAUUGUGUGCGCGUGAUGUGGCUUCGUUUUUAUUUGGUUAGUCAAGAAAUCGAAGAGAGAAAUUUGUGAUUUCUGAGAGAGAGGCAAGAAAUUGAGAGAGAUUGGGCGCGGUUGAAACACCUAAAUUAUUAAAAUAUAAAUUUUGCAGCGUUUGGGAACUGGUUGCUUCGGUUGCCCUUUUUUUGUUUUUUUAUUUCUUUUCAAUGUCAGCCGUUGGAUUCAUUUUACUUGAAUCCAACGACUGCAUUUACAAGCCAGCACAAUGCCGGGCCUCAAUGCCCGGCAUUGUAGCUUUAGCCUAUUAUUUCAAUAUGUAGUUUAUUCAAGUUUUCAAGUUUUGUUUUUAAAUUCACACCCCUCUCUCUCAUUCUUCUCUCUCUGUGUGUUUGCUGAACUCUCAAUGGCGAGCAACGUUCAGCACCUCACCCAAACAAUCCGACUCUCUUUCCCAUCUCUUCACAAUUUCAAAGCUUCUGAUGCUUUUACGAAUAAGAGUUUAAUUACCACAUUUCCAGUACGUUUCUCUUUUCACAGCUCAGCAAAAUUAACUACUUCUAUUCGCUCUUUACCAGUCGCUACCGCUAGCAUUAGCUACAGAAGCAGCUGUACCUUCACUUGGGACGACGUCGUUCGAGUUUCUCAACCAGAAUACUCCCCUGACGAUUCUUCCGAUCUCCGUGGCUACUUCGAGAAAAUCAAAAUCUGCAAUCGUGGCUCAGUUACUAUUUCAAAUUCCUCAUCAAACAAAUAAAUUUUGCAACCUUUAUUUUGCUGCACUUAAUUCAUUUUCUUAUCUUUUAAUUAUUAUUAUUUUUAAGGAAAUGCAAUCCGAGUUUUUUCCUUUUAUCAUCGAGGACCAAGUUGUUGGUUACACACAUAAUCGGUACAAUUUCUUUAUCCUCAUAAUAGAAAAUAGAUUAUGUCUAUUUAUUCCUGUUAGGGAUUUUAAAUUCUGAACAAUUCUUUUUUUCUUUUUUGAUUCAUUUUUGAAUCUAAGCAGUUUCGCUAGCCGCCUGAGGAAAUACGACGACGUAUUCAUAUACUCUGAAAACAACGGAGGUCGAUUUGGCAGUCACCUGAAGUUAAAUUCAAAGCUGAAAACAGCCGAUGAGAGGACGAGAGUUGUUGGAGAAGUGAUUAAAUGCUUGGCCGAAGAAGAAUUGAUUCCAGGUAUACGGAAUGAGGUACUGCUAGCUUUACUUUUGAUGUUUAUAUAGGAACUGAAUCGAUUCUCUUUCACUUUUGAAUAUAUGCUUCGUGCUUGUGACUAUGUCCAUAUGAUGUGUAAUUUGCAAUUGAUUUUUUUGAGAUUGAUUCAUUUUGGAUUUCAUUGGUUUAUAAUCAGCUCUAUCCUGUAACAUCAACCUUUGGUUCUCCGAUCUUUUUCUCGCUGGAACGUGCCGCUGCUCCUUACUUUGGAAUAAAGGUGAGUUCAUGACUUUUGCUUUGCAUCAAGGAUACUUGUGCAUAAAGUUAGAGAUACAAUAAGUUAGUGAUCAUGAGAUGUUUAUUGCAGAUAUGAUCACAUGAAACAGUUGUCUUGUUAAGUGUCUAUGUUUGGAUCUAGUCACCAUCGAACUUUGUCUAUUUUAUUACUUUGUAUAUUACUUUGCUUUCUGGUAAUAGACUGAAUUAUAAUUUACUUGGCUAUUGAUGGUUAUAUUGCUGUUCCUUUCUUCCUGAAUUUGAAAAUAGGCUUAUGGAGUUCACAUGAAUGGUUAUGUUGAAAAAGACGGGCGAAAAUUUCUAUGGAUUGGAAAACGAAGUCAAGUCAAACCUACUUAUCCAGGGAUGCUUGAUCAUCUAGUUGCUGGAGGAUUGGUAUGUAAUAAUAACCUUUCAUUGCUUUUCUUUGGUUGAUAGUAUUGGAUUCUUCUUUUGAAUUGCAUUGAGUUUACUUUUGUUUUGAAAAAAAGGACAGUCGUCAGCUGAUUCUCCUAAGCCCUUUUUGUGAUCGGAAAAAAGUGCCAAACAUGUAUUGCAUGAGUAGGGCACAGCUGGAUCCUCAUAUACUUGAAAUUCACUGAUGACCUUCAUUUGAAAUUGGAAUAGGUUGCUUACUAAAAAAUAGAUUAAUAAGGUUUUUCUUCAGCAGUGGACUCCAAUAUGACUGCAGUUGAUUAUUGUAACAAGAUUGACUUCUGAAGUGCUACUAAGGCUUAAGAAUCAAUUAGUCCUUGGAAAUUCUCAAAAUAGUAGGAAGAAGGCACAACAUUAUCCAAUGGCUGUUUGUCAUUCUGUGGUAGCAUAAAAGAAUAAGAGGGAAGAGGCAAAAGGUCAUUCUGAAAAAUGCCAUUUCUAUGGUGCCAUUUGUAAAACAUGCAAGCAAAAACGUAGGGGGCAAGAGAAACUUUGCGGACAUUUGUUUCUGUUAUUUUUCGGUUGGACUGAUUUAUCUCUUUACUAGUUAUAUAUGUUUUCAAGUUUAAACUUAGUGGUUUGGGCAGCUGGCAAAUAUUUGUCCAUGUUAGUCUGUAAUGAGAAAAUGAUCUUGAAAAGCCUUUAGUGAACCAUGGAAACUUGAGCUCAGAACAAAUAUCACUUGGGCAACAAACCCUGUGCAAUUGGAAAACAAUAGGUGUUCUUCCUUGUUGCAAUACUUGGAGAUUCCAGUUCAGUUACUGCAAUUGGAGAAAGAAUUUAUAUUAAUGAAAACUAUGGAUUCAUUUCAUUUAAAAAUGUUUUCUCUAAUCUUUAUGCUCAGUUAUCUGAACCAACGCUUCAUCUAUAUAAUCGUGAUGGUGAUUGCAGCCCCAUGGUAUUGCUUGUGGGGAGAAUAUUAUCAAGGAAUGUGAAGAGGAAGCGGGAAUACCUAGAUCCAUAUCCAAUAGGUAAGCUGUCCCCAUGCCACAUUGAUUCUAAAUUUGAGUACUAAUUGUAUUUAACUAUAUUAUAUUGGCUAAAAAUGUGAACUUUGCUAAAGUUCCACUCCACAUGUCAACAUUCUGAUUAAACCGUGCUUCUUUUGUGGAUGAUUGGUUGUACUAAUGGGUCCAGAUAUACAUCUUUCACAGAGCUAGACCAGUGGGAGCUGUUUCCUAUAUGGACAUUAAUGGGUUUAGUUACAAAAGAGAUGUUCUAUUUUGUUACGAUUUGAAGCUACCUGAAGAUUUUGUUCCUAAGAAUCAAGGUAACUGUAUUAAAGCUUGAUCUCAUUGAUGCCCAUUUUCUUCCCUAGUGAGAAUAAGGUAUAAAAGCAAUAUUUCUUGAGCUGCAAACUAGUAUUAGCAUUCCUACUGUUAAAUAUUUAUACAUGUCAAUCUAUAACAUACAGCCGCUGCAGUUUUAGAAGAGAAUUAUAUCUAUUCAUUGUAAUAGCUUUAUUAAACAUGUUGCAGACGGAGAGGUAGAAAGCUUCCAGUUGAUCCCUGUGGCACAUGUUGCAAAUGUCAUAAGGAGGACAGAGUUCUUCAAGCCAAAUUGCUCCCUAGUCAUCAUUGAUUUCUUGUUUCGACAUGGGUAUUAGCACUUUUCUUGAUUGCUUCUUGUAUCUCUCUCAGUUUGAGACUUUCAGUAAUCAGUUAAAAAGAUUAAAAUAAAUAAAUAAAAACUAGCAUAUGUGACAGCCAUAUAAUAAAUAAAUAAAUAGAAAGCAUAAUCACUUCUUUUUUUUUAAUUUUUUAUUAACUGUCAAUUUGUGGCAAUGGUUGCUGUUUUUCUUAUGAUAGUGGACUCUUCUGCCCUGUAGAAAUGAUAAAAGCAACAGUGUGUAAUUGUAAUGAAUCUUAAAUGUUUGCUCUACUACUACUAAUAUUCCCGUGUGCUUCUGUUUAGUUUUAGGAAUCUUUUAGAUGUCUUUGGGUUUUCUUUUUCAUGAUUUCAUACAUUUAUUGUUUAUGCUGAUUAAAAUUGUUACAUAUUAGGCUAGGGAAAUUGCUCCAGGAUUUUAUUUCUGACACUCAUAUGCACUUCCUACAAUUUCAAUGAAUCUCGAGAUAUGUCCUUGAUUUUUCUUGUAAUGUCCAUACAUUGAUGCUGGUUGAUAUUAGAUAGAUUUGAAGGGAUUCAUGCUCAAAGGCCUUGUUGUAGUUCCUCCUUUACCAUUAAGAAAAACUCAGCUGUAGCAUAUCAAUCCAUCCCAGUUUGAUUCUAAUCUUUUACCAUAAUGCUGCAACUUGCAGGUACAUUUGUCCGGAAUAUUUUGGAUACUUGGAUCUACUACAGAAUUUGAGAAGCGGAGACUGCUCCUAAUUAUUUGUCUUCGUGCCUAUCUUCUUUUUCUAUUUUUUUUUAAUCCUCCAAAUAAAUUGGAUUGUCUGAAUGACGAUUGAUGUUAAUUAAAAGCUUUAUUUUCCUGUCGCGAAAGAGAAAAUUUGGGCAUUACAUCAAUUGGUUUUAAGAUACAGGAUCGUGCGCAAAGAUUGAGAUAUGGUGAAAUCACAGUUCUUAAAAUGAGACUUCUGGAGGAAACUAAACAUAUAGUAUGCAAUUUAGGGUUAAAAAAAAAGGAAAAAGAAAAAGGAUUGGGCGGCGCUCGCAUUAGCUUCCCAUCACCCAGGAUUUGGGCCCUAUUUGAUAUCCAGGUUGACCUUUAAAGGUUACAACACUAAGGGCAGGCCUGCCCGCCCAGCCCAUUUGCCAUACCUGUGGUACUAUUGAGAGAAAGGAAAAUCGGUUAUCAAGAACAAAAGGCCGCGCAAUUAACUGGUGGAAUUCUAUUUUUACCCAAUAUUCUUCUGCACUUCAAAAUGGAUCGAGAGAAAACUAGACAAGAAAACAGUAAGAUACCUUAACUGUGCCAAAUGGAAAAGCAUUUGUCUAAUGCAUAAUUAUUAUAUUUCUUGAAGAUGUAAUUUUUUUUCCAGUAAUAGAUAUCUAGGAUCCACUUGCUUAAGAUGUAAAUAUUGAUCGAUAGAUAUCUAUGUUCCAGGCGCGUAACUAGGACUGCUCUGUAUUAGAGCCUCACACUUUCAAUUCUUCAACUCCUGUGCCCAGUGGUUCAAAUAAAGCUUCAACUUGACUUUGGUUGACUUCCUCCAAGCUUGCUGGGUUCCACUUAGGAUUCUGCCAAAAACAUGAUAAUCCACUGAGAAAACUACAUGCGCAUUACCAUUAUGGGCCUCAAUAAGUUUAUCCGCUACUAUGCAUUACCAUCACAGGCCUCCAUAAAUUUAUGGACUACUAUGUGUUUAUGUAAUUUAGUCAACACCUAUUUAAUGAUAUUUGGAACUUGUUAAGCUUUAGAACGGGAGAAGCAUUCUAUAAAGGGAAAGAUUAUUUGCACCAUUAGCUAGUAUCCUCCUAAUUUCAUCGAUGGAAAGGGAUGCAGAAUCAGUUCAAAAAAUUUAUUCAAGUUUUAAUUGACUAAAGAGAACCUGAUCCUUGUCCACCAAGACUGCUCGAACACCUUCAGCAAAAUCACUUCGCAAAGAAGAUCUUAAGGCAACUCGAUAUUCAUAUUUCAUUACCCCGCUUAGCUGAAUGGGAACCAAGUGUAGAAGGAAAUAUAUGUUACUUUUGACUGUUUCACCUUUAUAGGAGGAAAUCACGGAGUAGUACAAACCAAAAAGAUGAAAAAUAGAAUUCCAACUUACCUUUGAUAAUUCAUUGUCAGUUUUUCCAUGUGCUGAUGCAACUUUAGAGAAGUACUUUUGUGUUAAGCAAAGAGAAAAUGGAGCACCUUUCCCCAUUCCUUGAAGGGCCUCAUCAGCCCAUUGUGCCACUGAAGGAAGACAAAUGGAAUCAGAACUGUGGUGAACAUCAACACAAACCUAAUCAACCCAGUAUAAUCAACGCCACUUUAACAUCGACCAAAAAAUUUCUGAGGACACCAAUGUCACUUAUUACGUUGUUCUCAUUUCCAUAGACAAAACGGCUAAAUAGCUUACCUGAAGUCUCAGUGCUUGAUUGAUGUUUCUUUAGCUCUUCAAUUAUCUGCCUAACUGACUUUUCUGAACUAAAGCAUGAAGUAAUUUGAGGCAAAAGAAGCUUCAGUGGGGCUUCACCCUCAGGGUCACUGCUAUAUUUUGCCAAAACUGCUACAAUAUCCUGAUGCGGAUCUUCGGAACUGUAACACCAAUAAUCAUUUUGACCUUUUAGUGGCAGCUGGAAAUCUAAAAAUUGCAACAAUACGCAGAUGUUUUGAUAAAAAAACAUGAAUAAAUCCCAGAUCCAGAAAGUAAAUACAUUACAAAAUUCACUUUGUUAGAACAAUUUAGCUUUAUACAAUAGAGAAACAAUGUUCUAGACCUACCACCUACCAUGAGAACACUCAGCAAGAACAAUACAAAACUAAAAACUUCACAGAGUGAUGGAUCUCUUAUUACCUCACCAUUGCUAAAAUAAAGGAUGUCAAUAACUGGAAUUUGUUUUAAUUUAAGCAAUCCAAGCACUAAAUGUGGAUUCAUUUCCAUUGAAACAAAAGAUGGAAUAUAAGAUAGAAAGAUAAUUGAAGACAUACAAGGUAACUGCCAAAAGGGCCUCCUUCAGUGAACCUAAAUUCCCCGAUGGCACAUAAUCCGUUCCAAGUCCAGCAAAGAGUGCAUCAGAAGGUGUGGAAAUUCUCUUUCCCGUCAUACCAAGAUAAGCACCUGCAAUAUUUUAGGAUUUCAAGUGACUGAACAUUCAACAACAGAGCAUCAACUAGAGUCACUAGACAAUCAGUUUUCUGGAAGAAAGACGAGAAAGAAAUCCAGCAUGAACGGAGAGGUCCUAAUAAAUUCACAGAGGCCAAGGUCUCACCAAACAAGCCAAAAUCCCACCCCAUUUUUUAGAGCAAUUUUUGAAAAAAAGGGAGAAAAGCUAAUUAAAACGACUUGCUCACUAGCUAGAUAUUAUCCACUUUGGGCUUCACACAUUUGUCCUUCACCCUCAUAUUUUUGUUCUUGGUAUGGGUCCAAUCCCACCUGAAAGACUGCUUUCUAGUUUAAGGAAGGUCACCCCUUCUAAGCUCAUUACUCAGAUCCUCCCAAGCAAUGUGGGAUGAAACAGUUAUGUCAAAUAAAUUAUUAAGGCAACAAAGAUAUAAGUUUGAAAUAUUUAGAUGAGAUGGUCAGAUAACAGGUUGGAAGGUAGGAAUACAUUUAACGUGAUGGAAAUGCAAAAUUGAUUUUCAAACUGAGAAAGAAUUAGGGGGUUCAAGGAAAUUAGAAUAGAGGCAAUCCCUAUGUUAGUCCCCGACCAAAAAAAAAAAGACAAUUUACGACAAAUAGAGAAAAAAAUAUCACAUUGUUAGGAGAUAAAAAUCUUAAUGAAGAAAGAUUCGAAAGUAGCUCGCCUAUGAUCCCACAUCCAAUCUAAAUGACUAAGAAACCAUACGAUGCAUGCAAAUUCAAUAUCAGGCAACAAAAGAAAUCUAUAUGCACCAUUCAGAUAAGAAUAACCAUACCAACAGAUCCUCCUCCAGGACCUUUUGCUGCUAUGUAUGAAAAUCCAACAUCCGGGAACAAGCCAAUUCCAUUUUCUGGCAUGGCUAGAAGAGUUUUCUGAGAAGUAUUUAUUUUAAAAAAAAGAGCUAAAAUGAAAAACUAGUACAGCUUUUAAAACAUGAAAUUGACACCACUGUGGACAUGUCAACACCAUUCAUACCUCUGUUACAAUUCUGUAGCGACCAUGACCGGAUAGGCCGAUUCCAAAACCCAUUGUUACACCAUCCAUUAAGCUUAUGUAUGGUUUCUUGUACUCAGAAAUUUUGCAUAUUAGAGAAUACUCUGCAGUGAACACCUGAGAGAAAAUGCACCACAAUGAGGCGUAUUAAGUUAAUUUAAUGGAACAUAUUAAAAAAAAGAGGUUAACAUAACAUAACAAACUAAUUAAGGAGACAGAAUAGCAUGCAAACACAAGCCUAAAAAGUCAAUUUAUGCAAAACCACGCACAAUAUAAAAUGAAACUUGAUAAACAAUGAGAUUGAAUCCACGUAAUAAGAAUGAAAUGCAUGCAUCAAAAAUAUAAAUCUAUAAAACUGGUAGACAUAAAUUGCCUGAAACAAGUCAAUGAUCCGAAUAUAACAUUUAUGCAUAUGCAUGUCAAAUUCCAAAUACUCUUAUUAUCUCAUUUAAGAAGAAAAAUACAUUAAUUCAAUGUAAAACUUUAAAUCAACAAAAAACAUAAAACCAUAUUUUGAUCCUCCUACAAAAACCCAAUAUUCAUCCGAGAGUCUAAAAAGCAUGUUACAUCAGUCUUAUGUUAUACAUAAAUGAUAAAAAAAAAUAAAAAUUCUGCCAUUCAAAAUUCGAAUAUAAUUAUGUGAGGUAUCAUCAAAUAAAUUUCUCUUAAAAGAAUUUCCACGUCUUAUUUUAGGAAUACACCUAGGGAUACGACAUUAAGAGCUGAUAAUGACUGACUGCAACUGUAAGUGGUUCAAGGGAGAUUGACUGCAGGUAACAGUGUUAUUUGGAAAAGAUGAGAUAUUGGAAUCGAAGCAACUAUGAUAGGAAAAAUAGUUAUUUUGAACUUGACUAUAUGUUUAUAUUGGUGAAUAACUUGUAUUUCUAUAUUUCUGAUCAGAAUACAAUAGUACAAAUAUAUAGCUUUACAAUGAACUAAUUUAGGAAACUAUCCUAGCUAAUUGAGGAAAGUAUCCUAGCUAAUUGACAACUAUACACGCAGCUAUUCUAGGAAACUAGAUCAAUUCUAAUAACUCUAUUUUUGGUACAAUUUCCUCUGGUUUGAAUUAAUAUCUUGCAACACUCCCCCUCAAGCUGGCUUGUAGAUGUCUUCCAUAGCUAGCUUGCUGACUAGUAGUUCAAAAUGUCCCUUGUGUAGUCCUUUGGUGAGUAUGUCUGCUAUCUGUUGUGCGGUUGGUACAUAGGGAACACAUAUUACCCCACUUUCAAUUUUCUCCUUGAUGAAAUGCUUAUCAACCUCAAUAUGCUUAGUUCUAUCAUGUAGAACUGGAUUGUGGGCAAUAGAGAUGGCAGCUUUGUUAUCACAGUAAAUCUUUAUGGGAAGAGACACUGGAAUCUUUAAAUCUGAAAAUAGUCUCUUUAUCCAUAUUGCCUCGCAAAUUCCAUGUGCGAGUGACCUGAAUUCUGCCUCAGCACUACUCCGAGCCACAACGCUUUGUUUUUUGCUCCGCCAUGUAACGAGAUUUCCCCCAAUAAAGGUGCAGUAGCCUGAAGUUGAUCGCCUGUCAGUUGAGCUACCAGCCCAAUCUGCAUCUGUAUAGACUUCAAUUUGAAGGUUGUCCCGUUUCCGGAACAUAAGACCCUUUCCAGGGGUUCCCUUUAGAUAUCUUAGUAUCCUAUAGGCUGCAUCAAAGUGUUCCUGUCCUGGUGAGUGCAUGAACUGACUUACCAUGCUUACAGCGAAAGCUAUAUCAGGACGCGUAUGUGACAAGUAGAUCAAUUUCCCUACUAGUCUCUGAAAUUUCUCCCUAUCAAUCACAUCUUCAGCUUUAGCAGGAUUAAGUUUUAAGUUGACUUCAAUGGGAGUCUCAGCAGCCUUACAACCCAGAAAACCUGUCUCUUUGAGAAGAUCAAGAAUGUAUUUUCUUUGGUUUACAAAGAUACCUUCCUUCGAUCUUGCAAAUUCCAUACCAAGGAAGUAUUUUAGCACACCCAAGUCCUUGAUCUCAAAAUCUCGUGCCAUUUUCUCCCUAAGAUCUGCCAACUCUUUAGGAUCAUCACCUGUUAGAAUUAUAUCAUCCACAUAGACAAUUAGUAUUGAUAUCUUACCACUCUCUGAGUGUUUAUAAAACAUUGUAUGAUCAGCUUGGCUUUGAUUGUAGCCAUAACUCUUCACAGCCCUUCCAAAACGUUCAAACCACGCCCUUGGAGAUUGUUUAAGGCCAUAUAGGGAUUUUUUAAGUCUGCAGACUUUGUUUUGACCGAACACCUUCUCAAAUCCUGGUGGUGGACUCAUAAACACUUCCUCUUCUAAAUUCCCGUUCAGAAAGGCAUUUUUGAUAUCUAACUGGUGUAAUGGCCAGUUAUAAUUUGCUGCUAAGGAUAAUAGUACCCGAAUGGAAUUUAUUUUGGCGACAGGGGCAAAGGUUUCUUGGUAAUCAACCCCAUGUGUUUGAGUAAACCCCUUAGCCACGAGUCUGGCUUUAAAUCUCUCUAUACUUCCAUCCGCCUUGCACUUCACUGUAAACACCCAUUUGCACCCAACUGUUUUUUUAUCCAUGGGUAGGUCAACAACUUCCCAUGUCCCACUUUUCCUCAGAGCAUUCAUCUCUUCCAUCACCGCUGAUUUCCAAUCAGAAUCAUUAAGUGCUUCUUGAAUGUUUCUUGGCACAUGCAGGUUAGAGAUUUUAGAUAUAAAGGCAUUGUGUUUUUUCGAGAGUUUACCAUAGGAUAGAUAUUUGGACAUAGGAUGAGAAGUACAAGAGCGUUUUCCUUUUCUGAUUGCUAUUGGAACAUCAUAGUUAUUAGAAUUGUCAUCAAGCAUAGGAUUGACAGUAGGUUCAGAUAUUUCAUCAGGAUUAGGAACAAGAUUAUGUGAGGAAGUUUCUAGAGUACCUGUAUUUCUUUCAGAUUCUUCACUCAGGGUGUCUGGUUGGCCUUGUGCUAAAGGAAUAAUAGGUCUCUUACUCCUUGUAUGGUUCCUCCUUGAAUAAGUAAGAAGCUCUUUGUCUUGUUCCUUGAUAACAGAAGGUAGUAUUUCUGCCCCUGUCACAGUCUCAGCAGUGUUUGGCAAAAUAGUCUUGGUAUCACCAGUUUCAAAAACAACAUUAGGAAUAGCAAUCUUUUCAUUAGAAAACUCAUUUUGAGGUAUAGGUUUAGUAAUGCAAUCUAGGGUUUUAGGCAGGGGAUUGGAAAUAUCAUCCCAAAAAUUUUCUUCUUCUCUUAUUUUCUCCCCCUGAAGAGAAAUUUUUUGAAAAAAAAGGUUGAUUUUCCAGAAAAGUGAUAUCCAUAGAAACAACAGUUUUCCUAGUUUUUGGAUUAAAACACUUAUAUCCUUUCUUAUUUGGUGCAUAACCAAUAAAAAUACAUUUUUCAGCCCUUGGAUCGAGUUUAGACCGGUUUUUAUUAGGUAUAUGAACAUAAGCUGUACAUCCAAAAAUUUUCAGAGGAAGAUUAGAGUGAAUUCGUGAUUCUGGAAAAUAUUUUUUAAAACAGUCAAGUGGUGUAAUGUAGUUUAGAACACGGGUGGGCAUCCUGUUAAUUAGAUAGGAUGCAGUUAAAACUGCUUCGCCCCAAAGAUAUUGAGGAACAUUCAUAGAAAACAUAAUAGCACGAGAAACUUCAAGUAAAUGUUUAUUUUUACGCUCAGCAAUACCAUUUUGCUGAGGUGUAUCAACACAAGUAGUUUGAUGGUGAAUACCUUUUUCUGCAAAAAAAGUUCUAAGAUUUUGCUUAAAAUAUUCAGUUCCAUUAUCGGUAUGAAUAAUUCCAAUUUUAGUUUGAAAGUGGUUUUCAAUCAUCAAGUAAAAUAUUUCAAAUAAGUUCUGAACCUCAGAUUUUUCCUUCAUUAAAUAAACCCAGCAUAGGCGAGUAUGAUCAUCAAUAAAAGUCACAAACCAUUUUUUCCCUGAAGAAGUAUUAAUUUUUGAAGGACCCCAAAUAUCACUAUGGAUUAAAUAAAAAGGCUUUGAGGCUUGAUAAGGCCUUGAAGGAUAGAUAGUUCUAUGACUUUUUGAUAAAAUGCAGUUUUCACAAUGGAAUUCAGAACAAUUCAAACCUUUAAAUAAAUUAGGAAAUAAUUUUUUAAGAUAAGGAAAACUAGGAUGCCCUAGCCUAUAGUGCCAAAGCAUAAUUUGAUCCUUAACUUGAGUAGAACUAAUACUACUAAAGCCUUGAGCUUCUUUAUUCUUAGAUUCUUCAUCUUCAAAAUAGUAGAGACCAUCUAUCAAUUUAGCACUGCCAAUCAUCUUCCCCGAGUUCUGUUCCUGAAAGACACAGUGGUAUUUGGAAAAAAUAAUACGACAGUUAGAGUCUCUAGAUAAUUUACUAACUGAUAGCAGAUUACAGGUAAGUUUAGGAACAUGGAGAACAUUUUUAAGAGAGAUGGUUUUAGAUAGAUUUAUCAAACCGUUGCCAGCUAUAGGGGAAUAUGAACCAUCUGCUAUACGAACUUUUUUAUGACCAGAACAAGGGGUGUAUGUAUGAAAUAAAUGAGAAAAACUUGUCAUGUGAUCAGAGGCUCCUGAAUCUAUAAUCCAAGGAGUAUGAGAAAUAGGUAAAUGACAAGAGAGAGCAUUUAAUUUACUACCUGCUUGAGCAAUGGUAGCAUUAGGUGUACUUAAUGAUCCUGAGUUAGAUUUCAGCAGCUUCAGAAGGUGAUCCAUCUGCUCUUUGUUAAAGGGCACAGACUCGGCCUCAUGUGCAGCAGGAGUACGAGUGAAUCUGCCUUCAUGAGAACCCUUCCAAUUUGCUGGUUUUCCGUGGAUCUUCCAGCAAGUCUCUCGUGUAUGCCGUGGCUUAUUGCAGUGAUCACACCAAACGCGAGACUUUUCAUCAGGUUUCUUUGUAGCAGUUCGGCCAGCAUUAAUACUAGCAGCAAGGGCUGAGUUUUCAAUAGUGUUAACGAGAUUCCUUUUUCCAAGCAUAACAAGACGCCGACUCUCCUCACGGCGUACCUCAGAAAACACUUCUCCAAUAGAGGGAAGCGGCUGCCUCCCAAUAAUCCUGCCUCUAACUUGGCGGAUUUCUCCGAGUUUCAGAGUUAACUCAUAUACUUGAGAUUGAUUUCCCAAGUCAGAAUACAUUUGGUUAAUGUUGUCCCAAAGCUCCUUGGCCGUGUGAUAACACAUAUAGUUGGAGCUUAUGUCCUCCUCCAUAGAGUUCACCAACCAAGUCAUUACCAUCGAGUUCUCAGCAUCCCAUGUUGGAUAGGUUGCAUCGUCAGCCGCAGGCUCCUUUGUUUCUCCAGUCAAAUACCCGAUCUUGCCUCGACCACGGAUAUACAUGCGCACAGAUUGAGACCAACGCAGGAAAUUUUCUCUAUUCAGUUUAAUGGUAGUGAUCUGAAUGGAGUGAGAUUCCGUGGUUGAAGCCUGGGUUUUAGGCUGCGCAGCAGUAGGUGUUGGCAGGCUUGUAGAAGCAUUCUGGGUAUGUUGAAGGGUGUUUGUAGACUCAGAAACAACGUCGGACAUGAUGAAGAGGUAGGACUGAUUUUAGGGUAGAAAAGAAAGUAGGAGAACGGCUAGGUUUUCUGCAGGUAAGAGAAAGGACAGAAGAGCAAUAGGGUUUCCAGGAAUUAAAGGAAUUCCUGCUCUGAUACCAUAUUGGUGAAUAACUUGUAUUUCUAUAUUUCUGAUCAGAAUACAAUAGUACAAAUAUAUAGCUUUACAAUGAACUAAUUUAGGAAACUAUCCUAGCUAAUUGAGGAAAGUAUCCUAGCUAAUUGACAACUAUACACGCAGCUAUUCUAGGAAACUAGAUCAAUUCUAAUAACUCUAUUUUUGGUACAAUUUCCUCUGGUUUGAAUUAAUAUCUUGCAACAGUUUAACAAAGCAAAAAUGUGUUAAUGGCUUGAUGAUUUAUGGUUAGAAGGACUCUAGAAGACCUCAAUCAUUUCUGACAGUUGAUUUUGGGUUGUGGACUGUAAGUGGUUCAAGGGAGAUUGACCACAGAUAACGGCGUUAUUUGGAAAAGACGAGAUAUUGGAAUCGAAGCAAAUAUGAAAAAUAGUUAUUUUGAACUUGACCAUAUUUUCAACAAAGCAAAAAUGUGUUAAUGGUUUGAUGAUUUAUAGUUCGAAGGACGCUAGAAGACCUCAAUCAUUUCUGACAGUUGAUUUUGGGUUGAGAUCUCCUUCACAUCACCACCUGCAGAUAAACUAAGAUCUAGGUUAUGAACUAGACAGGCAUUGAACGAGUCAAGUUAUAACAGUAGCAUAAUAAAAAGAACAGCAAAGCAACAUUAAAAAAAUGAAAAGAAGAUUAAAAAAAAAAAAAGAAUGGUGAGCAACAGUUCAUUUAAAACAAUCAACAACUGUAUCUAGCAAGCAAGGGAUAUUCAUAACAAAAGACAUGCAUUUUAAGGGAACCUUUGGUACAAGAGGUGUGUUCCUGUCUUUUUGAAUUUCAGCAACAACCCCCUUGAUGUCCAUUCCUGCAUUUUCCAUUAAUGGUUACCUUCAAAACCUGCCGUAGCUCUGAAUAGCAGAUAGCCCAAAAAAAUGUAUAUGUAUGCAUGCGGACCAAUUCACAUGCAUUUGUAGAAUAGCAUCAAGCUAAAUGAAGCUUAGAAAAGUCCUUUAAUAGAAAAUGAUUAAAUAAAUGACUGAAAGAAGCUGUCUAAAAGGAAACUUAUUUUCGUUAAUUACCAGCACAUAAGGCACGGGGCGCACUCCCCUCAAUGAGCACACACUUUACCCUUGGAUCUGAUUCCCAUUUGUCAAGAAAACUUUUGUAUUUUAUGUCCAUAUCUGCAUCACCGAAAGCCUACAGGUUAAAGUAAACAACUAGAGAAAAGCACCAAAGAAUACAAGCUAAUAGUAAAUAAUUAAACAAAAAAGAGUUACAAAUUAAUAGCAGUUCUGGCUAAUAAACAAUAACUGCCUUUAAUAAAUUAGCAUACAGUCUGAAAUAUUUUUGAAAUCCAAAAGAUCUUCUUCUCCUUCUCGCAAGAAGCUUUAAUUUUCUACAGAAGAUUUUGCGUAAAUAUCAUAAAGUUGUUCAAAACCUCACAUCAAAAAUUGGUCUUGUCCAAGGUCCAACCCAGAUAAUAAAAAAAGUUAGGAAAUUCAACCAAAACUCUUCAACUGAAAAUUACUAGCCCUACUAAAAAGUAACAAAAACACUGUCAGUCUUAUCAUUCUUCUAAUGAUCUACAUUAUUCGCACUUUUCAUUUUAGAACAGAAUGACCAGUAUUACCCAAGGUGCGCACCUGGGGGGGGGGGGGGGGGGGAGAGGAUCUCACCUCAGUUAACACGUGCAUUUGAAUAAAUCACGGGUUGAAAAAACGAAUCAUAUUUCAUUUUUGGAAACACAUCAUUCUUUUCACCCAGUAAAUAAGAACCAGCACCGGUCAACAUAGUAGAGAAGCAACAGAGAGUUAAAAAUGAAAAUUAAAAAAAAAAAAGAAUAUCACCACAGUUAACACAUGCAUUGGAAUAAACCAUUGGUUGAAAAAAUGAAUCAUACUUUCAUUUUCGGAAACACAUCAUUGAUUUCACUCAAUAAAUAAGAACUAGCACCAGUCCACAUAGUAGACUUAAAACUUUUUUCCUGUGGCACUUUAAAGAAUCUCUUCAUUCUUGAAAUUAUUCAUUUAUUUUACCCAGUAAAUAUAUUAUCAAGUAACAAAUACAUAUAGUAUAUCACACAAUUUUUCACUAGUCACAUUUGUAUCCAAGUUUAAAUUCUGGUGUUAAAAAACUAGAAUUUUGCCACAUGGAAAAAUCUCUCUUAUUUUCUGUUCAACAAUUUUCAGCGCGUACCUUAAUUAUGUACUAAUGGAAAUUAUUAAUUUAGCCUAUUAUUCUAAGUCGGACCUAAAAAUGUUAUCUUAUAGAGCAUUAAUUUAUAUAGGUUAUAUUGUACGGAUAAAUAAAUAAUACUCUAAUUUCAAAAAAAAUUAAAAGCUUAAGUUACUACAUAGUAUUGAUCGCCCUUAACAUACUAAGAAAAUAAGCAAUUACAAUUAAUUACAGUAUUGAUGAUUGAUUACACGAGGCAUCGCAAAUUAACGCACGCCAUUUUACGAAUCAAAAAAAAAAAAAAAGCGACAAAGUAGAAAUGACCACUGAGCAAAUCUUAUAAAAGGAAAAAAAGAUUGACCUAGAUUCAUGGCGUUGAGAGCUUUGGGACGAUCGAGAGUGAUGACAGCGACGCCGUUUGGAUGAACAUUUCCUUUGACGAACUCUUCGGCUCCGGCUGCAGCCAUGGACGCAAACGUUCUGGAAUUACCAGAGGUUUGUGGAUUGCAGAGAGAUAAUCUGAUGAAACGACAAGUUGAUUGGUGUCGUUGAGAGCGAGUGAUUGUCGUUUGGUUAAAGAGUAGAGUUGAUGAUUUGGUAAAGAUUUGGGAGACUGAGAGUGAGAGUGAUAAGCUUCGCAUGUUAAAUUUUGUGAAACUGUUACUCCCUGAGUAAAUGAUAGUUUUGGUUGCCGUUGACUGUUGAUUGCCCGUCAGAUUCUUUUUCCUGUUAAAAUUCGUAUAAAAUCCUUAUUUAUUUGAGGGUGAGGCGUUAUUUAAAUUCAUUAUAAUAUUUAUUAAAUUUUAUUCCUCAAUAAAUUGAUCUACAAAAUUUUAAGAUUUAUCUUUCACUGAAUAAAACAUCUCUAUGCUAAAUAUAAAAUAUUCCUUUUAUAUAUGCUUGAAAAGUGAAAAUCUAUUGUUCACGCUUGUUUUUCACUAAUUUAAAAAUUAAAUAAAUGGGACAAUAUAAAGAAUAAAAUACAUAGAAUUUAUAUGAUCUAGAGCUUGCCUUAUAUACACCGGAUUUAAAAAAACAACCUUCACUAUUUAAUAAUAAUUACAAUAUAAUUUUUUUUUAGCUAUUUGCCUCUAAAUUUUUGCUUGCCCAUUAUGCAUUAAGGACUUUCUAUUUACAAUACAAUUUUUCAAUAUUUUAAAUCGUUGAUAUUUCUUAUUGUAAUAUGCUUCCACUAAUUAAUUAGAGUUUAAUUCAGAGUCUAUAUUUAUUUCAUUCUCAAAGUUAGUCUCUACAGCUUCUAGUUUUUUUUUUUUUGGU
rnacentral:lncRNA from 1 species